rnacentral:lncRNA from 1 species
GUGGGAGCAGAACUUUUCCAACUUGGAUGAAUACUUUGAAAGGCAUGGUGGAGCUCAAAUUAUUCGUUUGCAAAAAGCUCGAAGAGCUUCCUGCACUCUGGGAGCUACCAGCUCUGCAAAUUCUUCACCUGGAGGGUCUGGAGAGUUUACAUUGUUUGUGCAGCGGUGGUACUACACCCGUCACAUUUCCAAAACUGAAGGUGCUUACCUUGUUAAAAAUGGCAAAAUUUGAGGCAUGGUGGGAGACACAUGAGGUACAAGGAGAAGAGCCCAUAUUUCCCAAGGUCGAGGAGCUGGAGAUUAAGGAGUGUAACAGUUUGACUGCAUUACCAAAAGCAACGUCGGUGAUUACAGAAUUGUCUGGCAGAGUUGACACUAAGUGCCGCUCUGCAUUUCCAGCAUUGAGGAAAAUGAUCCUAUUUGAGUUGACUAUGUUUGAAAGAUGGGAGGCAGGCGAAGGAAUUUCAGGCGAAGAGGUAACCUUUCCUCAGCUCGAGGAGCUGUCAAUCAUGUAUUGUCAAAGCCUGAGUGCACUACCAAAUGGAGCUGAAACUGUGUGGUGCCGCUCUGCAUUUCCAGCACUGAGGAAACUAGAAUUAUCUAGUUUGUCGGCCCUUGAGAGGUGGGGGGCAGCUGAAGGAACUCCAGGAGAAGAGGUAACCUUUCCUCAGCUCGAGGAGCUGACAAUCGGGUCUUGUCGCAGCCUGAGUGCACUACCAAAAGGGCCAUUAUUGGCUAAGCAACCAUUUGGCAGAGCUGGAACUGUGUGCUGCCGCUCUGCAUUUCCAGCACUGAGAAAACUAAAAUUAUUUUUUUUGUCAGCUCUUGAGAGGUGGGGGGCAGCCGAAGGAACUCCAGGAGAAGAGGUCACAUUUCCUCUGCUGGAGAACUUGAGUAUCGAUGAUUGCCCGAAGUUGACUGAUCUACCUGAAGCACCGAAGCUAAGUGAAUUAUCCAUAAGAACAUAUGGUGAUCAGCAAAUAUCGCUAGAGGCAGCUAGCAGAUGCAUCCCUUCAUUGUCCCGUCUGCAUCUGGAUGUGUCGCCCGAUGACACAGAAACAACAUUGCUGCAUGUCAAGAAGAAAUUGAAUGGUACACUCGCCCUACCAGCUAUGAGGUUAGGUUGCUGCGACGUUUUUUUCUCCUCCCGCUCAAGCGCACUGGCGCUAUGGACAUGUUUUGCACAGCUAGUAGAUUUGAAGAUUUGGUGUUGCGAUGCUCUUGUCUACUGGCCAGAAAACGUGUUCCAGGUCCUAGUAUGCCUGAGGAACUUACAUAUUUCCACAUGUAGCAAACUGACAGGACGCACACAAGCUUCUGAUGAGCAAUCUGCUCCAGCUCCAGAACGUGGUGGACUCCUGCCAUGCCUGGAGUCUCUAAGGAUAGAUUAUUGUCCAUCUUUGGUAGAGGUCCCCAUCCUGCCGGCAUCUCUUAAGACAUUACAUAUUGAAGGCUGUGAUGAAAUCGAGUCCAUCGUAUUCUGUCACCCGGAGGAUACGAGAUUGGUGAGUGGAGAAGGUGUUGUACGGCCGGAUACGUCAUCAUUAAUUCCAGGGUCUACAGCUGUACUGAAGCUGUCAUCUGGAGCCAACCAUCGUUUCCUUCCAUUUCCAUGCCUAGAAUAUCUACUUAUAUGGUAUUGCAGUGGCUUGUCAGAGGUUGCCAAUCUUCCUCCGUCUAUCAAGACCUUGGACAUUUAUUCCUGUAACAAUCUUCAAUCCCUAUCAGGAGACCUCCCGUUGCUGGAAAAACUCGACCUUUUUAGAUGCGAAAGACUGGUAUCCUUACCGGAUGGGCCUCAAGCAUACUCAUCUCUUAGAGUUCUUCGGAUAAUGAAUUGUGAUGGUAUAAAGUUGCUUCCGCCAAACCUUCAGAGCCGUUUGGGUUACCUUGAGAAGAAAGAUCUAGAUGCCCGUUACGAAGGUAAUCUCCAGUUUCUUUGUUUCUUUUAACAAAAUGAUCAGGAGCUCAAUUGCUGUUGCCUAAAAUGCAACUCUGUGCUUAAACAUUCUGUUAGUCAACUGUUGUUGAUAUAUACAUUAUAUCGAGUAUAAUGCACCACUAAUACCUAUAUUUAUGUGCACUUGUGUCACUUAAAUCCAUUAACUUUCAUAUAUUGCACAUUCGAGGUAUCUAAACACUUACAGCUGGAUCAAGAAGUUUAUGCACCAAUAUACACUUCACUUUACUCUAGUCAUCCUUGUAUAUCUCCUUGUUGUCCGUACAAAGAAUUUAACUAUAAGAUGAUCUUUGUGGUUCACUUUUGAUACCUUGGUUGUAAACUUGUAAUUGCUGACUCGAAUCAUGUAAUAAAAUCAAUCAUCUUCCUUUAGUUGUAUUUAAAGCAGCAUGGCAUCAUGGAAUUAUUGCAGCCGAAUUCACUAGCUCCAAUUAAAGUGGCACUGGUCCUAGUGUUUCUCUGGACAUUCACUAGCUCCAUUGUAUACAGUUCAAGUAUGUGUAGUUUUCUUUUCAUGGCUUAUGCCUUUUGACAUAAAUAAUAAUUUUCCUUUGAAACAUUUACUAUUGGGUGCCACAGCAUAUUCUCCUGUGUAUAUAUACUUUCUAACUUUGUGUUGACUUGCAUGCAUAAAUUCUAACAUCAUGUAUGAUCAUGGCCUGAUUGCCAGAACCAACCUGGAAACGUUCGAUCAGGAAGCUGGUGUGCUUGAAAUAGUAGAUCAAGACCUGACCAAAGAAAGUUAUUUCCAAGGUAUUUUUGCAAAAACGUCACCAAGGUUUGUAAUAUUAGUGUUCUUGAUGAUUGAUUUGAAAUGAUGCUAGCUCCUAAUGCUGACUUCCUAUGCGUUGUGACUUCCUUGUAGGAUCGUGCUAGAUCUGCAAAAGAUGGAUUAUUGUGACUCUUGUUUAGAAUGUAUCAUAUGCGCAUUCUCUCCAGUAAAGUUAAGGCAAAGUCCUAGAUUUUGAGCAGAAAACAAGUCCUAGAUUGCAAGCUGAAGAAUUUAGCACACAGAGCUGCAUGCUCCAGUCUUUUAUCCUUAUUUUUUUCUUUUGAACUAUGACGUGUUUGCAUUCGUGUCUGCUUCAGCCUCCAGCACAAGCGAAACACGGGCAGCACUUCCAUUUUAUGAUUUGUUUAUCCACAUACAUGUCCGAUUGACCGCAGAGGAUACUUUGCCAUAGAGUAGACCAACAGUCCAACGUACUCAUGUUGUUGCUCGACAAGCUGUCCAAGCUGCUGCUUGAUAUGAACUGAAAGUGCUGAGUUUUCUCCCGUGUAUGUUCUGUGUAUCAAAUACUGAAUGGUGUGCAGGGUGAUCCUCCAUCCUGGAAUGGCACGGUCUUGUGCAGAGGUCUCAUUGUUGUUGACCUGUUUCUUCAAAACUGCAUGUGCAGCAACAUUUUCUCCUGGCAGUGCUGCAAUGGAAUUGAAAAGAAUGGUGAUUGUUAUAGUAUAAUUGUCAUAUAUAGUCUGGGACACAAAACAAUGGAGGUACAUGAGCAAGGAAGAAGCUCUGGAGGCAGGGGAUGGAACAGAACAGAGACACGGACUCUGUCUUCUUCCGAAUGCAGCUCCUCUGUAUUGGCGAUGAAGGACCCUACAAGUUGGUUCUCAUAGACAGAAUUGAGAGCUACGGAUGUCCGCUCCCAAGAACGAACUGCCAGAGCAAGAAGAUGAACGUAAUCUGUAUAGAUAAAAAAAUUUAACAGAAGUUUUCAUGAGUUAUCCUUUGUCUGGGGCCAUAGUACAAACCCUGCAUUUCGAAUUUGGGACUGCCCUCCUGUAUGGUGUGACCUAAAUUUUAACAAAAAUUAUCCUAGUGUGGUGUGGCUACGGUUGUUUCAUACGACUAGUGGUGGUACCCGUGCGACCCGCACUGGUUUAAAAAUAUAUAAUAAAAACAAACUUAUUAUUCAUGAUAUUAAAUACGUAUAAUAUACAAAUAAAUCUAAUAUAUAAAAGAUGUCCCAAACAAACUACCAGCAUCUUUGGAUCACACGGGUCUACCAUCAAGAAAUAAUUCUUAAGAAAUGAACUCUUUUGUAUAGUAAGUCAUUUUUCUAAUGAUACUGGCAGUAGUUAAAGCAGGAAUGUAGGAUAACUAGGUAAAGAAGUUUGUGUGAUUGUGUCUACCAUCCUAAGCUGGCAUUCAUGUCUACCAUAGUAUGACAACCCAUCUUGUCGAGUGGAGACAAUUUCGUGUAAAAAAAAGGAGUUCAGAUGAAUUUGUGUCAAUUAACGCUUUCCAGUACUACACAUCUUCCCCCAAUCACCUAGAAUUCCAGACAGAUCUUUCUUCCCCAACCAGCUAAUCCAGAGCAAGGGGUCAGAUUUUUUCUACCGUUUGUAAAUUGUAACCAUGCUACCACUUUACUCUCCCAUCUGUGUUUUAAAAGAACUUAAGUUAGAAAAUUUUGAAAGAAGAAUAAAACGAUAAACAAAAGCAACUGGAAACCCAAUUUUGAAGCAACACAAUGUUAUAUUUUCAAUUCACCGAUCACAGGUACCAUUACUGCCCUGGGGCUUUAAGUCGCCGCAAACAAAACUGAGGAGUCUCCUACAUACUACGAAUUAGCUGAAACUAUAAUGACAUCAUUCUAAUUACUACAAGAAAGGUCAGGUCAAUUUGGCUUAAUUACCUUGUGGUUCUGCUUCGGUUGAUGGUAGACAAAUAUUAAUACAAGGAAUUUAAGCAUUGCUACCUUGAAUGAACACAUAUAUCCAAAAGAAAAUGUGUUUGGAAGUAAUUCUUGCUCUAUUCAAAUGUCUAGGGAAUAAUUUCAAAUAUUAUUCCAAUUUGAUUCUUUGCCUCAUCGACAACUCAACUCAAUUCUCAUUACAAUAGUUCAUAUGUCCAGAUUGAACAUGUACUUUGAAAAAGAUGCAUAGGCUGAAUAAUGUCCCCAUCCCAAUAAACAUACCAAAACAAAACAGCUAAAUUAAGAAACACACAUCCAUAUAGAGGUAAAGCUUCUGCCUUCUUCCUCAAACAUGAUUUAGAAAUCUUUACAAACCAGCCAGCCUGUAAUAAAACGUCUGCAUAAUAAUAAAAAAAAAGAAUGAGCCAUUGAUACUUACGAUUAGUAUUAGAAACAAUCAUCUCAUUAGGGGCUUACAAAGUAAGAUUUAAAGUCCAAACAAAGUAAUAGUUGAGUGUCCUUGCAUUGCAAUCGCCAUCGAUACUAACAAGCAUUGUGCAUCAUUGAACUCUAGUGGGGGCAAUAAUAUGAUAAUAUUUAACUAUGAUGAAAUGGUGAGCCAUUAACCUUGCCCUUGUGGAUACAUAAGCAGAAGAAAAGUACAUAAAUUCCAAAUCCGAAUUUAGUAGCAAUAUCAUCAAUACAUUUUCUUUGAAACGCACCAUCUGCUGCGUUGUGGGUUCUGAUUUCUUGCUGAGGAACAUUUGCACAAGCAGAGCCAUGUUGUGUCCAGGUAACCAGUAGAACAAAUAAAAAAGGACUAUCUCUGAUGCAUAGGUAUCCUAUAAUCUUCGACAAAUACAAAGAGUUUAACAAAAAUCGAAUGGUUUUAAAAAAACAUCACAGAGUCACAAGAUUUAGAAUCAAAAGAAUGGAAGGCUUUGUAAAAACCAUGCGCAAUUUCCAAACAGCACAAUUUUCUCUUCCAUUACAUAGAUUUUAACAAGGUUAUUAUGUAAAAUUAAAGGUAUAUUAGAAAGGUAGAUAUAGGCACAUAGCUGUUACUCCAAGGUAACAUAGGUUUCAGGUAGAAAGCUUCAAUCAGCAGCAAAAGCCCCUUUUCAUCUAGAUGGCUUGCAUAAUCAAUGCCUCCUCAUUCUGGUGUUUGAAAUGCUCCUGUACAACCAUCACAACAGACAGCUCAUCAUCUACAUCACCUUACUGUAAAGAAAUACCAUAGUAAUUUUUCUCUGCACAAAUAAGCAACGUGUAAGAAAGCUUUAAUUUUUUCACAGCCACAAAAUUUAAAUCCAUAGCAUGUAGUAACUAGUAAGCAUCUGUAGUAAUUCCUAUUUAAAGUGUCCCAGAAGCUUAACCACACCAAAGCAAUCGACGUAGAAGUCAGAAAGCUAACCAUAAGUCAAUGAAAUAGCAAAAUGAAGCCCUCGAAAAGCGAAACUGCCUUUUCUACAGGAGGUAGAAGUACUAAUACUUACUUCCCCCAUCCCAAAUUGUGGGUCGUUUUAGCAUUUCUACAUUAAUAAAAAGUUAGAUGCUGCCUUUUCUACAAGCUGUCGCUCCCACGAGGUUAUCUGCUAGAUCACUGGACGCAAUUUGCCAAUGGGACUGUUAUGGCAAGUGGGCUGGCCGCAGGCCUAGGCCCACGAGUAUUGUAGCUCGUGAACAGUACCACAAGGGGAAUAAGAUUGGUUUGUUAGCAGGUCAUUAGAGAUAAGGUUGUUAGAGAGAUACGGUUAUUUAGAUUAGAUUGGGUUUGUUAGGUAGCUGGCUAUAUAAGCACAGCCACACCAUCCAUUGUAAUCAAGCAAGAAGAACCCUAAAAGUAGUCGGAGCCUCCAAGGGAGGGCGACAAAUAGGUUCUUCGUGCUAUCCCUAGUUCUACCAUAUCAAGGACCGACCAACCCCUGCAAACAAAAUAAAUGUAGCAGGAUGCUGGUUUAAGUCGGCAGAAGAAGGGCAAAGAAGAUACAAAGUAAACAUUAAGGAAUUGAUCUUAAUUGGAUGCUUCCAUUUGAAUCUAUCUAGCAGUGAUCUAAUAACCAGAUGCACCACCAUAAUAACCAAUGGCAAAAAAUCUCAGGCAUAAACUUCUAUGUUUCAGACCAUACAUUUCAGCUUGACGUGGUAACAAUAAUGGAGCCGUACUGCAGGAGGAUGUACUUGAAAAGUUUAUUUUACCAUGGAUUGAAGAUACGGCAACUAGCCACUUUGCGAUUCUUCAAUAUCUUUCCUUGAGCUAAUAACUAUUGCAAGCUCAUCACCGCUAACACGAAAAUCAGACCUGUAAAACAUAAAGCUUAUAACAUAACCUAAAGAAAAGUAAUUGUCUGAUUCCUAGAGCUACAUCUCAAGCAACAGUAUAUUACUAACUUUAGUAAUCAUGGAGAUGAAUGGCCAAUUCUUCAACAUAUCUUAUAAUUAGUUAACAUACUUCUGAAAAAUGUCUCAUACUUACAGUUUAUAGUUAUGCAUUUUGCAAAGUUAAAAGCUCUUUUAGAUUUCUGAAGUUUUCAGUGAGGAUCCGCAAAUCUCUGUGAUGAUACCAGUUUCAUACAAAGAUGCAAGAAUUAUAUCUAAUAGUAUUGCCAGACCCAUUGGAUGUGUCCAUGAAACACACCUACUAAUUGGACAAUGGCUGUAGUGAAAAAUUCUUUGCAGAGCAAUAACAUGAAACAGAUAAGAAAUGAGAAAAAAGAGUAGGGAUCACGUACUAACCUAGGCCGUGCACUUGCCUGCUGUAUGCUAAAGGGGAAGAAACAUGUUCGGAUCAAACAUGGUGUCCUUCAAACAUGGUGGCCCUCACCUCUAAACAGUCAGGUAAAUCUAAGAGAAAUAGAAUUGCUGCCAACUGAAAGACUCGAAACUGCUAGAAGAAAAAUAACUCGCAGUGGCAACCUAUCAACACCAUUUUGAAGGCUACAAACCCUUUACUGCGUUAGACAUUAUAAUUUUAGGCUUGUUCAUCAAAGAGUGAAUUGCCGAAUUGAAGGAACAUACAAUAGAUUCCACAAGUACAUGAUAAAGAGGAGAUGAUAAAGUGGAAAUAAUACCCCUACUUACAUGUGUCUUUGGAUACAACAGGUACACGAUAAAUAAAGAUACAGAAGUCAAAAUAAAGAGAAGUUUGAAGGAGCGUAAAAGGAAUCGCAAUGCAGUUUUAUUUGAAUCCAUGUAUGCAUGUACGUGCAUUCUUGUGUUCAGUUAUGACAAAGAGGGUUAGGAGGAACGAGAAGUACCUGCUAUGCUGCUGCAUCUGGCUCUUUUCCUGGCAAGAGAAACAAAUAAAAAAUGAAUAAGGUGCAUAAAUAACAUAGUGCUGCAAUGCUAAAGGAGGAAACCAAAACAAACAUUUACGAAAUUGAUUAUGAUUAUUAGUAACUGAAUACAUUCAGAAAAAAAUAAAAACCAUUCGCAUUAGGGCUUGGCGAUAUAACUGAACCGUUAGGUCGCAAAGAUCAAGCCAUGUCACUAUAAGCAAUGCUGGUAGUGAUAGGGAAAAAAAGAAAUAACAGUUCUGACAGAAUCACUUAUGAUUUGGUUGCACACACAAAGUAGCAAGGAAAAAAAACAGUGCUUAGACAAAUGAAAACUUCAUAAAUCAAACUGCUGAAUGAUUGCAAGGGAGGUGCAUACUUCCUCUUUCUGUUGCCCAUAGCAUUUGUCAUGUCAUCCUUCGGCAUAUUGGUGCUUGGAGUUCCCACACUGUUCAAGAAAGAAAAGGUACAAUUUCAGGUUUCAUUAAGACAGUGCUGACAGAAUCACAGCUGUUACUCUGUUAGAAUCUAUUGAGUCCAAAGUCUAAACAUGUAUAUAUGAAGUCUAAAUAUACAGGAUAUGCAAGUAACAACAAUUAUAAUGGGCAAAUAAACAUUGCACUGCCUGAAUUGCCAUGUCUACAUGGCAUUUAGCAAUGCAAACUGUACAGAAUGGAAAGAAAAUCUGAAGUAAACAAUGAUCAGUCUAUCCAAAUAUAGACUCAAAGAACAAUUUCACAUACAGGCACAACAUCUCGGCCUGGAGAAUGGCGCAACAUCUCUGCCUUGUUUCAGAAUUCAGAAACCAGGUUUGGUGCCUUCCAGCAGUGGGCUACCAUGCACACAGUACGUCCAUACCUAACCAGAUGGGCCAAAUAGAGGCGCAUCACCAAACCAAAUCAAUUUUCAUACUCCGUCCCUCCCAAAUUAUAAACUGUUUCGGUAUUACUAGAUUCAUAAGUUUUGUUACGUACCUAGAUAUACACUGUGCUUAGAUACAUAGUAAAUUCUAUGAAACUAAAAACCGCAAAAUGAUCUACAAUUUGGAACGGAAGAGUAGUAUGCAAGAAAUGUCAAAUGUGCUAUCGACAACCAGGUAAUUUGUUUCUGAAAGAGAGUAGGGUUCAGUUCAGAUAUAAUGCUCUUGGACCAGUGAGCAUCAGCAAGGGGCAAGUUGCCGAUGUCCCAGUCCAAUUCUAUCACACAACUUGCCUACUGGAUCAGCUUAUUUCUUUGUUGGGCAAGCAUAAUUUUCCCCGUAUAAAAAGGCCACACAACCUCAAGAGAAGAUAAUGAGGUAAUACUUGGUGUACAAUACACAUAUAAUUGCUCCGUUCUUCAAUAGACAGUUCAGGUGCAGAACCAGUCCGAAUUUAAGCAAAGACAGUUCAGGUGCAGAACCAGUCCGAAUUUAAGCAGGUUCAGACCAUACUCAGAAAGGUUAUGCUUGAUUAAAAUUCUAUUGAUAAGUAUUUAUACAUUAUAACUGAAGGUAAUACGUUUCCAGAUGGCGUCAAAUUGCUGCUAGUCAAAGCCUCAUAAAAAAGUUUAUUGGCAGAUCUCUUGGACUGUCAUAGUGCAUGCUCCCUGUCCCUGACAUUGUAACCCUGGUGUGAGAUCCUUAAGUAAUCUGUCACUGGAAUCACCAAUCCUAUCCGUAGACAAUUACUUAAACCUAAUUUGAAACAAAUAUUAACUAAAUGGGCCAAAGAAUGUGAAGCUAACUGAAUGCAGUCUGCAGCAGAACUAAGAACAAUGUCAGGGCUGAUUGCUCAUAGGCUGACAGCCACAGCAAAGAAAAAUGUCCCUGCAGAAUGAUCAUGGAACAAAGCUGGGGUUACUUACUAAACACGAAGAACUCUCUCCUUCCAAGCUUCUUGGUUCUUCCGUUCCAAUGCUCUGUGGUACACAUGAAAGCAUCUGAUCAAUUUAUGUGCAUAAUUCAUUUUCCAAUGAACAAGCAUUGGGUUUGCUGGAUGUGGCUCUGAUCAAGUUUCUUCCUUGACAUUUUGUCAAACACAUGGAAUGCACCAGACUUUUAAUUUUAUUGGGUCAAGAUUUUGCAGGGAAAAUUAUUCAAUCAAAGAAACAUUACAAUGGGAAAAUAUGUUGAAUGGGAGAGGAAACAAUAACUUGCAAAUACUGAAUUUCAUGCUAGAGUUGUAAGCCAAUGGCUAGGAAUCAAAUGCAAAUGGCAGUGGUUCAAUUCUAACCAAUUGAAACAUAUGCUUGCGAGGGAACCAACCUUCUUGAAGACAUUGCAAGAGUUGCAGAAGCAUCCCCUGUAAUGACAGAGUGGCACAUGGAGAUUAGAGUUGAAGACAUUGCAAGAGUUGCAGAAGCAUCCCCAUCAAGAUUAUCUUGGAUCGAAGGUUGGCAUCCAUCGGUGUUCCAAAUCUCUAAUCACUGAGAAAAUCUCCAAAAUUAGCAACGCAAUACAAGCACGUUAUUGCACGUUAUUGCAGCGCUGCUGGUGGAGCCGUCCGGGAUCCCCAACCCCUUGAGGUGUUCGCCAACCUUGUUUACAUCCUUGCCGCUGCCGCCAUCGCCUACGUACCCGACCAGAUCAACCACAGAUUAGAUUAGGCCGCACCAGAGACUGCGGGGACUGCGAAGGGAGGGGAAGGACCACAGCAGAUUAGAUUAGAUUAGGCCGCACCACAUAUAGUUAGCUUGCAUCAUAUACCACAACAUUCAAUAUAGUAUGUACAGGCAUCAAAUUAGGAAAGGGAAAAGCAAUCAGAUCUUUUUGAAAAUAAAAGCGAAGAAUGCUGUGUUAAUCAAAACAAAGGGUAAUGAACAUCUGAAGUGAGCUAUGAGCUAACAGAUUAUAUAUUAAAUAUAAUAAGCACAAUUAGGAACGAAAAUUUACUCCAAAGAAUCCAAAAACAAGAACAUAAAAAAAAGCAGAGGAUCAGAGUUCUGGCUUGGUUCUCAAAAGAGAAAUUAUAGCACUCAGUAUGUUCAUUGUCGAUCAUCUGGGGAAAGGGUCAUCAUAUCCUCCGAGGUAUGCAACACAAUUAAGAGAGCUCUUACACAACACCAAAAGCAUAAACUCUGACAAGGGAAAAAGGGAAAGGCAGUAUAUGAAAUUCACUACAGGUCAACAAGAAAAUACAAUGCCGUAUAAACUAUGAAGGAUCAGAAUUCUGGCUUGGUUCUCCGAAGAGAAGUUAUAGAGUACAGUAUGUUCACUGUCAAUCAUCUGGGGAAAGGAUCAUCAUAUCCUCCAUUCAUAUAACGUUAAAUCAUAGGAGAAAACAUCAUUUUAGAUAACAUGUCCAAAAAUACGUUGUCCAGAGAAUAAUUGUGCGGUAGUCCAUGUAGCCAUGAGGUUGUGGUGGCUGAAGUCAUGGAUUCGAUACCCAAUUCUCCUUCUCUCAAAGCCGUAUUCCCAUAUUGACAUGUAAAAGUUCAAUUAAGUAGGAAUGAGAAAAUGUAUGACUACCACUACAUAUUGGUAUAAGCCACCAGCAGCCGCGGGGGCCGAGGGGGCGCGGAGGCGCGCGGGGAGGGAGGUCAGCGCGGACCGCAUCGCCAUGUCGUCGCGCUCGAAUCUGCCUGCGGUGGCCUGGUAGGGUUGAAGGGGAGGAGAGGACGGGGAGGAGAGCCGCCGAUUGGGUCGCAAUCGAGCUAAUGUGGAGGGAGGUCGGGAGAGCAGACGGGAAGAAGGAAAGAAACGCGUGAUUUGCGGGCGGGAUUGGCCGCGGGUACGGCGGGCGGUUGAAAAAUAAGCCAUUCCCCCGCCGCCAUUCCACUCCGCUCCCAUUCCCCCGCCGCCGCAGGAGCGCACUCCCUCCUGCACCCACCGGCGGCCCGCAAGCCCCCCACACCUUCUCCCUCUCCCUCCCCUUCCCCAUUCCUCCGCCUCCCGGCCCCCGCGCGCCCGCGCCUCCCGCUCCGCCUCCGCUCCACCUCCCCGGCCGCCGCCUCCGACCUCACCGACUUCCCCAACCCGAACGGCAUCCUCGCGCCCAUCGACGUGGACGCCGUCACGGAGGCGGAGCUUCGCGAGAACGGGUUCCGGAGCACGCGCCGCACCAAGCUCGUCCGCACCGUGGGCCCGGCCACCUCGUCGCCCGAGCAGCUCGAGGCGCUCGCCAUCGGCGGGAUGAACGUCGCCCGCCUCAACAUGUGCCACGGGGACCGGGAGUGGCACCGGGGCGUCAUCCGGGCAGUCAGGAGGCUCAACGAGGAGAAGGGCUACGCCGUCGCCGUCAUGAUGGACACCGAGGGCAGCGAGAUCCACAUGGGGGACCUCGGCGGCGCCACAUCGGCCAAGGCGGAGGUGAGGUGUUGUGCUUGUAUGUAAGCUGCUGUCCAGUUUUGUACUUGGCGUUGCGGUUUUCAGUUUUCAGAUUGAACGCUUUCACUUGAACGUAUUCCGUGAAAUGUGCUUGUGCAAUGUGGAUGAGAGGAACGGGUGGUGGCAGUGGCAGUGUCAGGCAUUGCAGUUUCAUACUUCUGCAAAACCUAGCGAGUCAGGAUUUCACCAAAAUGUUUUUUUUCCAUCUUCAAAAUGGCUCAGUUGAUUUAGAUUUUCAGCUCAUGUUUGAAAUUGCUAUAGAAGGAGAAUCAUUCAGAAUUUCAGAUUGUCAUCAAACACUGGAUUGUGAAAGUGGUAAUCAUUUUCAAGGCUUUCAAUCUUUCAAAAAAAAAAUCAAGGCUUUCAGUAUCAGUGCAACUCAAAUAAAGUGCAUGGUAAACAUCACCAUGUUUUGGCUUUCUCUGCAUAUAAGACAGGGUGCUGGAGUGGUUCGACCGCGUUGAGGUCCCAAUCCAACCGGUCGGGUUUUUUCUAGGUGUCAAGUUUGAGUGCUUACCCGCAUUGACAUCCCAAUCCAACCGGGCGAGUCUUGUUUAUUUUUCGUUUCUUUUCCUUUUCCUACCUAUGGCCUCCCAGGGCCGUAGUCUUGUAUUUUCUGCUAUAUCAAUACAAACUCGCACGGUUCGUUCAAAAAAAAAGUGAUAGGCAUUGAGGUUCUGAAGGUUGUUUUUUAGAUCUUAGGCCCAAGCCUCAAAUGGCUUUUUUUCCCCUGUUGCAAACCUUCCUUUAAGUAUUGCAUCUAGCACCGGGGAAAACACAGGAAUAUCUUUCAUUUCAGCAACAGAAUCUCUUAUAAAAAGGGCGUACCCAGUGCGAAAGCUCCCACACAAGGUGGGGUCUGGGGAAGGGAAUUCCUAGACAACCUUAUCUUUGCAAUAUUCUUUUAAAAUUCUGCAAAGAGGCUGGUUCGAACCCAGGACCUCCGGGCCACAAGUGGAGAGUUUAAUUUGAAUUAGCUUUAUUAGUAGAAUGCUUGGCCCAUUUAUUGGUAAAUGGUAAAAUUCAUAAAGAUUAUCCUUAUUCCGUUAAUCAAUUUUAGGUGUUUAACUUGCAGCAAAUUCGAACAAUGACAGACAUGCAGCAUAUUGUUAGUUCAUCUGUAAGACUUAGCUUGCUGGUUUAAUGCUUUGUUAAAGGUUUGAAGUUAAUGUGUCUACUGGUAGCUACUGAAUCUCUUUAUAGUUUAUUUAUAUCUUUUUUCUUUAUUAGUAUAAAGCCAUGUAGAAGUUUUCAGAAUACUGAAAUUUCUAGUGUUCGUUUUGUGGAGUCUCUCCACCUACAUCCUUUUUUACAACUGCAUUUCAGAUCCUUCAGUUAUAGCAUGAAUAUUUUUUUAAAAAGAAACUUCUAGGUCUAUUCUUGCCCGUAAUUAAUGUUAGUGUCUGAUGAUAGUUGUGUUUUAGAUAAUACAUUAAUAUUAGUAAUCCAAAGAAACUGAACUACUUCUAUGAUUCUAAGGCCCUGUUUGGCAUGGCUCCAACUCCGGGUGGAGCUGCUCCACUCCAGAACUUCACAUGGAGCCAGCUCCGCUCCAAAACUCCAGAACAAAAAUGAGGUGUUUGGCUAGAUGGGUGCUCUCAGCUCCAAAAAAAAUCGAUUUCAGUGUGGAUUGCCAUUGUUGCCCCCCAAUUAAGGCACCACUUGUCAUCCUCUCUAUCCCAUCUUCUUCUUCCCCUUUUUCCACUGCACUGUGCCGCACACGGGAGACCCUCCAUGGGCGGCGGGGUGGGUAGCGACGGGGCGGCGGGUGGCGACGGGCGACGACAGGCGGCGGGGUGGGUGGCGGCGGGCGGCGACGGGCGGCCGGCGCGGCGACGGGCGCGGCGGUGGGUGGCGGCGGGCGACGGGCGCGGUGAUGGGCGGCGACGGGCGACGGGCGGCGGCGGGCGGCAACGGGCGGCGGCGGGCGGCAACGGGCGACGGGCGACGGGCAGGGCUCUGGCGGCGAGUGGGGCUCGGGAGAAUAGAAGGGAGAAUAGAAUGAAACGUUUUUUUGUGUAACCAGUGGCAUUGGUGGGUAAUUACCCACCAACUCCACGAUAAGGUUCGAAAGAGAGGUUUCUGGAGCAGCAAAAGAGGUGCUCCAAAACUCCACCUGCAUUUGCACUACAGCUCCAUGGAGUUGGCAACUCCAUGGAGUUUUGGAGUUGGGGUGUUUGGCUGAAUUUUUUGAUGGAGUUGCUGGAGUUUAGGAGUGGAGCCGUGCCAAACAGGACCUAACUGUCAUCAGUGCUAGCUAGGGUCACUAUGCCAAAAGGAGAUUAUAUCACCAUUCGGCUGUUUAUCUUAAGUUUUUAACCAUACAGUCAGAAGUUUGAUUGUACACCUAUUCAAUAAUCCUAGGUUUUCUUGAGCCACGUUAUUUACCCAAUGACUUCCAUUUUUCUUGGAAUUAAAACAUUUCUGAAGUAAUUAAUAAAUCAUCUCACAUUUGUUGGAUUCCACAGGAUGAAGAAGUCUGGACAUUUAGUGUUAGGUCAUUUGAAUUGCCUCUCCCAGAACGAACUAUUAAUGUGAUUAUGACGGGUUUGCUGAAGGUAUAUAAGCUGACCUAUUUGUUGAUAUCUUUCGCUGUUAUUGUUCACUGCCAUAAUUUUGCAUCAAAAUCCUACACAGAUGUGAGAGUUGGUGAUGAGCUUCUUGUGGAUGGUGGAAUGGCUCGGUUUGAGGUGAUUGAGAAGUUGGGACCAGAUGUUAAGUGUCGCUGCACGGAUCCUGGUUUAUUGUUGCCACGUGCGAAUCUUACAUUCUGGCGUGAUGGCAGUAUUGUCCGUGAGAGGAAUGCUAUGCUUCCUACAAUUUCAUCAAAGGUAAAUGCAGUAGCAUAAUAAAUUUCUUGCUGCAAUUACCAAAAGACCGCAAAACUUUGUUAAUCUAUGCCCCCCCUUGGUACUAGUAUUGCAAUGGAUUUACAGCUUGUUUUUUCUGUCAAUGCCAUGGUCAGUUCAAAACAACAUGUAUUAGUUCAAAGCCUUACAUUGUGCACUGAAACUCAUCUCUCGAUAGUUUUUGUCAGCUAUUUCUUAAGAAGGCUUCUACCACCUAGAGUUGUUUAACUGAAAAUUUAAUCUUCUAGUAGCAGAUACUAAUAUUUUAAGUUUAUAACAAUGCUGCUCCUUUUCUUGUGACAACUUGUGCAGGAUUGGCUUGACAUAGACUUUGGAAUUGCCGAAGGUGUAGAUUUCAUCGCUGUUUCAUUUGUCAAGUCAGCAGAAGUAAUUAAACAUUUUAAAAGCUACAUAGCUGCAAGGAGCCGUGGCAGGUACCAGGAGUAUAAUUCUGUACUGUUAUUUAAGUUUAUGCUUUCUUGGAAAAGCCAUAUUUGACAUUAUUAAACUGAUAACGGGUGUUCCUAGAACUGUUCUGCAUGCUUAGCCACUGUUUGUGGUUGGUUCCUGGUCAGUCCCAGAUGAUUACUCAUACUGGUAGGGUUUUAGUUGUAUUCUAACCCCCAAAAAAUCAGCCUGGAAUAUAUUGGUUUCUAUGUAGUUACUAGAGAAAACAGUGAAUCAACAAGAUAUCCCCUUUCUGGUGUUCCUCCUUUUCUAAAUAAUGCUGUGGAACAACAUGAUUCAUGGAAGAAUAAUAAGAACUGUUUAAAAUUGUUUGGCUUUCCUCAACCUGGUGUCUUCUCUGUGCCAAAAAAACAACACUUGGUGUCAGGUGUCAUCUCAGCACCUACAAUUCAUCUGCAUGCACUAGAAAAAUUGUGUGUGUGUAGCUCCUGCCAAAAUUGCCAGUUUGCCAUUGUACGUCCAUCUCAUGUUUUGUGGCUAAAACUCAGUUAGUGACACAAAAAGUUACCUAGAUUAAAAUCGCUAAUCCCAAACCGCAAGUGAUACCAAUCUUGCUAUGUUAUCUUUUAUACUUCAAUUAAUUGGGCCUUGCAAACAUCUAAAUCAGAAAGGAUUGCUAGUACCGUGUUUCUGAAAUGUUUCCUUCAUUUUGCUGAACUUUGUUGGUUCCUUACUCUAAUAAUGCUUUAUUUUAUAUGAUCAGUGAUAAGCAGUCAUUGCGAAAAUUGAGAGCAUUGACUCUUUAAAGAACCUGGAGGAGAUCAUCCGAGCAUCAGAUGGUGCCAUGGUAGCCACUCUGGAUAUGGGGGCACAGGUUCCCUUGGAGCAGGUCCCCUCAAUACAAUAAAAGAUAGUUCAACUGUGCAGGCAGCUCAACAAGCCAGUCAUUGUUGCUUCUCAGCUCCUUGAAUCAAUGGUCGAGUAUCCUACUCCCACAAGGGCCGAAGUUGCCGAUGUUUCUGAAGCUGUCCGCCAGCGUGCGGAUGCUCUAAUGCUUUCUGGUGAGUCAGCAAUGGGAAGAUAUCCAGAGAAGGCUCUUAGUGUUCUGAGGAGCGUUAGCCUCAGGAUUGAGAAGUGGUGGCGGGAGGAGAAGCGACAUGAGGCACUGGAACUUCAAGGUGUUUCAUCUUCAUUCUCUGACAAGAUAUCAGAAGAAAUCUGCAACUCGGCAGCUAAAAUGGGUAAGUACUGCCACCAUCGUAUUCAGUGCAUACCAUAGUUAUGUUGUCAUAGCAACUGAUAUAGCAGCUGACGCCAUCUUUGUUUUCACAAAGACUGGCCACAUGGCCUCCUUGCUCUCACAGUGCCGUCCUGACUGCCCAGUUUUCGCCUUCACAACAUCGACGUCCGUCAGGAGGCGGCUAAACCGUCAGUGGGGCCUCAUCCCAUUCCGCCUCAGCUUAGCAACUGAUAUAUUCAAUUGCUUUGCUGUUUCAUCUUCCUAUUAUUGUCCAUUAUCUUGGUUACUGACAGAACAUUUAGAUUCCAUUUUCUUAGAAGCUGUGUCUAAACAAAACCAAUUUCAUCUGCAGCUAACGGCCUGGGAGCUGACGCCGUCUUUGUUUUCACAAAGACUGGCCACAUGGCCUCCUUGCUCUCACGGUGCCGUCCUGACUGCCCAGUUUUCGCCUUCACAACGUCGACGUCCGUCAGGAGGCGGCUAAACCUUCAGUGGGGCCUCAUCCCAUUCCGCCUCAGCUUCUCAGAUGACAUGGAGAGCAACCUGAACCGCACCUUCUCCCUGCUAAAGGCCAGGGGCAUGAUCCAGUCUGGCGACCUGGUGAUCGCCCUCUCUGACAUGCUGCAGUCCAUCCAGGUGAUGAACGUACCCUAAGAAAGAGCCUAAUCCUCUGUGGGAUGAUCAUAUGAGAUGGAAGAUGGACCAUGAACUUUAUCGGCACCUUGAAGGACAGUUCCUUGCACCAAAAUUAUUCGCUUUCACCCUGUAUUAGAUGCUGGGCAGGACUAGAGAACUGUGGCAAUAAUUUGCAGCUUUGUGCCCUGCUGUAAAACUGUUAUAUUACUAUUAGCUUUAUUUAUAGUCUGACCUUGGGGUGACUCUUUAAUGUGCAAGCUUUGGGUCUUGCUGUGGGCCGUAAUGGGCUUAUAAGUGAAGCGCAGGGAGAAGAGGAAGAACCCGCUGAAGAACAUGGCUGCUGUGCUCAAGCUCAACCCCUACCUCGGCACUGCCCGCAAGAUGGCUACCCUCGCUAAGGUUGCCCACAUCAAGGCAAGGAAGGAGAAGCUCGAAUCCAAGAGGACCAAGCUUAGCCCGGUAUGACCAUUUUUCUCCCUCCAUUUCAUUUCUGAUUAUGUCAAUAAUACCUGAAUUGAUCACUUAGAUUGCUCAUGUAGUUCUGGUGUACUGUUUAUGACUUGUAGUGUUUGCUAUGGUACAUUUUCUGCCCCUUGUAUGAAUGGUUUAAUUUGUUUGAUGUAUCAUAAUUUGAGCAAAUUUCAUUGCUUGAAAGUAUUAGUACUGGAGUUCUGUGUGAAUAACAUGAUUCUGCUGUAGUGAUUCUUGUUGGGGUUUAGUUAUGUGCAUUGAUCUAAUGUUGUGCCAACAAAUAUUCUUGUAAUUGCGCGUUUGUGCUGUAUCAGUAUGCAUGGGUAAUCUAGUUUGUCAUUGUUUACUAUUUGCUCAGGGUGUUUCGGUACCCUUAAUUGCUUUUAGUAAGGCAUUUGUCUAUGUUCUGUUCCAUUUCUUUAUAUGCUAGUAGAUAUCUGAGCAAUUGUUUGUUCUACUCUUUUCUUAGAAAUGAUUUAUGGUACUGGAAGCUUCGGUAAUCUUUGCAUAUAUGGCAUAUGACAUGCCCUGGUAACUCAUGGGUCAGGGUUUAUCUUGAAUGUUUUAGUUCGAUCCCUCUUGUUGAUUUGUGUUCUGAAUUGGUAACUUGGGACUAUGCCUUGUUAGAAUGUGAUGAAUAGAUUGAUGUUUUACUAAGCGUUUUGAUUACAGAAUACUAGAAUGAAUGUUAUUACAUUAUCCAUGUUUCGAACUGAAUCCCAAAAUUUACUGAAUCCCUUCACAUCCAUAUAUCUCCUGAAUAUUUGUUUAACUGUAUAGUUUGAUAUGUUUACAUUGUUGUCAAGAUUCUUUGUUGCAUGCCCAUAUAUCUUCUGAACACUACAGAACUGACCAAUAUGUGAACUACUGUUGGUUUAAUGUAUCAGAUGCUGAUUAUUUCGUUCAGCUGUAUGCCCUUUUGUCAACAAACACGUACUGAACAAUAUCUGUAGAUCCAUUGUUGUAGGAGGAGGCUGCCAAGGUCAAGGCUGCUGGAAAGGCAUGGCACAGGACCAUGAUCUCAGACAGCGACUACACCUGAGUUUGAGAACUUCUCAAAGUGGCUCGGCGUGACUCAGUGAGCGGGUGCUAUCUAGUUAAGUUUUGAGUAGUAGUGUGGCUGAACUUAUCUCGAGAGGGUUUAUCGCUUUGUUUUAUCCUGCAUCAUCAUAAGAAUUCAAUCUGUGGGAUUUUAAGACAAGUCUUCCUUUUUGUUAAUGCGUUGCUGUGAAAUCAUUCUAGUAAAUAUUCACCUUGACGAUCUUUUGGAAGGACAGCGACCACAAAAAUUAUGAAUUGGGUAGAUGGAGGAUUUAUGUGCUGUAUUGAGAGAGCCCGUAGGUGCUAGAUUUCUCCGGAAACGUUCGAUUUAAGCUUGUAGAUAUUGUGAUGAAUCCCGUCACCAUUUUCCCAUGAAACAUUCUGAAAGUUCUGGUAGUGGUAUCCACUGCUGCAGUUUUACAAGCAUGUAGGGUUGUUCCUCUGUUUGUUGAUUAGGUAUUAUGUUUUGCACAGUCUUAAAGUUUAGAAGGUAAUUACCCAGGUGUUCAAGUAUACCUUCAAGUUUUUUUUUACACAGUGUACAUAUUACCUUGUUAUAGUGAGAACAGAGAAGUCCACCGCAAAAGUAAAGCCUAGCAUAUAUUGUUCUUGCAAUAGACCAUGUGUGUAUAUGCCCCUUUGUAGGUUGAUUAUUCCAUUCAGAACAUAGCAUGGACCUCUAUAGUGUUUUGGAUAAAUUUUUUUAUUAUAAAGGUACUUGCCGAGGCACCAAUUUGGGAGUCUGCGGGGUAAAAUGUUCCCGGCGUACUUCAUAUUGAUAUCAGUGUGUUCAGCGAUAUCUGUUGCAGCAUUUGCAUACCUGCAUGGAUUCCUUCUUUCGGCCCUUAUCUGUAACCUUUCAAACCUUCUGGUCAUCACACCUAUGAUGGUUGAAGUAAAAUACUUUGUUUGUGGCCUUGAGCUUUUUACUACCUCUCGUUUUGCAUUUGCCAGAUGCUAGUGUGCUAGUUAUACAGAAUAUCACAAAAUUAUAGUUUGAGUAUGUGAUAAUAUCGUUACUAAUGAAUGGAAUCUUACACUUUUUAUAUGCAAUUUUGAGAUUUACUUUGCUGAUGGUAGUAGAGGUAUGUAAAGCAAAAGAAAGUUACUUUUAAAUUAUUAGUUAUAUGGUUAUAUUUUAUAGGUCAGCGAUUUCUGAGUACUAGUCAUAGCAGCGCUCACAGGAAUAUACUGACUUGUUCUUUAUUUUAUUUUCAAGAAUUAAUACAGAUAGCAUAAAGCAGAAUCCAGUCCAUGAAUAGUUAGCGAUCUAGCAUCUGGAGGUGAAAAUCUAGCUUGGUUAGAACUUAGAAGCAUAGUUGUGGAUAAAAUUUGUGGGAAUCUAAUUUGACAAAACAAGUAGACAUGUCUGGCUGCAUAUAUGAACCUUUCAAACUGCAUCUUAUUGUUUCUGAGAUCUGAUUGGUGAUUUUUCCACAUUUGCAUUGUAGCACACAUCACUUGGAUAUUGUUUUAGAGAGCAAACUUGACAAUCGAGAUAUCUUGAUUGCUGAAAUCGAUGCUGACAAUGUUCUGUUAUUUGAGUAGGAUAGGGGUUAUACAUAAAAAAAAUAAGAAGAGAGAAUGUGCCUUGCAGGCUUGUACUUUGGUUGGUUGAGCAUUGCUCUUUGUAGUUUGCGCUUUCAUUUUCACCCGUGCCUAUUGAAUUGCUCUCUUUCACCUAGAUGAUGAUGAAGAGGUACAAGAUAGAAGGACCUCGUGAGGCCGGGUACUCCAAGAAUGAGGAGAUGGCCAAGAGGAACCCUGCCCUGGCGGCAAUCAGUCAGAAGUUCAGGAUGAUCCACGUGCUGUCGUCACUGGCCAGCCCCAUGUCCUUCGGCAGCCUGGCCAUCCACUCCUGAUACCUCCCCAGCAAGCUCGACCCGUGACUGCCUGACCGAGUGUUAGCUGGUGCCUGGUGAGUGGUGACCUACGAACUCUGAACUUAGCCUAGGUUUCUGUGGAGAAAAAAGAAGUCAUGUCUGUGCAAGAACAUUGGUCCUCGGGAUGAUAUGAUUAGCCUUUAAUAAUGUACAUAAUGCAGGAACUUCGUUUCAUUUUGUAAUUUGUCUAUAGGAAAUGUGUCUGGCAAAUUCCUAGAUUUUACAGCCAAGAAAUGCAGCUAAACAUGGUCUCUCGGCUCAUGGAGCUUGGGUAUAAAGAAAUGACUAGGAUCUUCUGCAACUUUUAGAAUGCCUACUAUCUGAAAAAAAAAAUUGGCCAGAGAUGACGAGUUUGGUAUGCAUUCCUGAACACUGGUUUCUCUUGUCUGGUGGUCCAAAACCAUAUGGCGUUCCUUCAUCUAGGCCAAAUCUAUUAUAUUCACUUUCUGAAGAUAAUAUCCAGUGAAGCCAAGCCGAAGUCUAGAAAACAAGUCCACAUUGCAAACUGAAGAAUUUAGCAUAUGGAACUCCAUGCUCUAGUCUUUCAUCCUUCUUCAAGCUGAAGUCCUUGAUUUUGAUCACAAAACAAGUCCCAGACUGCAAGUUGAAGAAUAUAUAGCAUAUUGAUCGAGCUCCAUGCUCCAGCUUUUUAUCCUUAUAUUUUCUUUUGAACUAUGGCGUGUUUGAACUCAGUGUCCGCUCCAGCGUAAGCAAAACACAUACACAGCUAGCACUUUCAUUUCAUGACGUGUUUGUCUACAUUACUGCAGAAGUACUUGCCAUAGAAUAGGUCAACAAUCCAACAUACUACUACUCAUGUUGUUGUUCGACAAGCUGUCUAAGCUGCUGCUUGAAUACGAACUGAAAGUGCUGAACUUUGUCCAUGUUAUGUUGGUAGUAUAUCUAAUACUGAACGGUGUGCAGGGUGAUCCUGCAAGGCUUUUAGAUAGCACGGUCUUGUGCAGAGGUAUUGUCGAGCUCUGUUUCUUCAAAGUUACGUCUGCUCUGUUUCUUCAAAGUUACGUCUUGCAAUUGCAGUAACAUUUCUGCUGGUAAUUCUGUAAUCUCUACUAUAAAAAAAGCAAAGAGGACACAAAAAUGCGGUCCGUCGUUUGGCCGCCGGGCGAUGUCCCUCGCUCCAUUUUGGGCCGUCCGCUUGCAGCAGCCUCCGCGUGCAGCCGUUGACCUGGAGAUUCCGUGAGUUGCGGCCCACACGUUUCCUCCUCUGUCCGUUUCCCUCCUCGCGGAUCCCUUCCUCCUGCAGUCCUGCCCAUGCGUCGCCAUCCGCCGUCGACGCAACUCCCUCAGUCGCGUCGCCUGCCGCCGCCACUCCCUCCGUCGCCGCAACUUCUCCCUCCCUGCAUCGUUAGGCCUGCGUCGCCAUCCGCCGCCGCCCCUCCCUUUCCUCACCUCCGCGCCGCCAGAAACCCCCGCCCCUGCCUGCGUCGCCAUCUGCCACCGCCCCUCCCUUUCCUCGCCUCCGCGCCGCCAGAAGCCACCGCCCCUCCCUUUCCUCGCCUCCGCGCCGCUAGAAGUCACCGCCCCAUCCUGAGUCGCCUCAUCGCCGCAAGCGACUCCGCCCCUCCCUGAGUCGACGGAACACCGACAGUCGAGGCUACGCUGCACGCCAACUAGAUUUCUCAGUUCGUUGGGUUUGAUCACGGUACCUCUCAGUUUCUUAGUUUGUCAUGCAUCUGAACUUUGUGUGACGUUCAUGUUCUUGUCAUUUGAUUUGUUUGGUCGGUGUUCAUGUUCUUAGAAUCUGGUGCUACGUGACAUUAUAGGCGGUGUUGUGUUUUCUGAAUUGUCGGCGACUUGAAAAUUUGAGAUUCAGAUCGUGAUUUGUUUAGGUGGACAAUUAAAAUUUGAUGAUAUGUCCUUCCCGAGAGAGAAACGUAUUACCUGUGGUAAUUGAGGAUGGUAGAGAUAAUUUACUCUGCAUGUAAACUGAGGACUGAGAUUCAAGAGUAAUCAUAGAACACGUAGACCACAUUGACUGGAAAAUUAGUCCUCUCCAAUUUUUGCUGAUCUGUCCCUGAUAGUACAUAAUUAUUUUGCCACUUUUUGUGCAAGCUUAUCGAUGUACGAAUUAAUAAUGGAAAGUAAGGAUUGCGAUAGUAGGGAUUGGGACAUUUGUUAUGCUUAUCGAUGCUUAUGGCAAUGCUUCAUAAAAGUAGUAUACACCGCCGUGCACUUCGAAUUCAUGAUGGACAGUAGGGAUUGUGAUAUGUGAUAUGCUUAAGGCAAUGCUUCAUAAAAAGAGUAUGCACCUCCGAGCACUUCAAGUGUACUCUGAUGCACACACAAGCACACAGUUCUAGAUGGUUAAGCCGGUCUGUGAUUAGCAAGAUUUUCAUGAGAAUGGUAUCAGUUAUCAGACAUUCUGUGAUAUCUUGAAUGGAAAAAUAAAAUCAAAAAGGAAAGCACGAUAAAUAGAUAAUUUUUCUUGAAUUCUCCCAUAUUCAGAAAAUUGACUGACCGAGUGUGGAUAAAUCCUUUUUUUUGUUACUUGGACCUCAGUUGGCCUUUAUAUUACUCUGAAUAUGUAAGAUCUCAAUAAACAGUAAAUUUGAGGAGGAUUUGCUAUCAUCUUUUGAAUCGUUCAUCCCGGUGGCAGAUUUCUUGAUUGCCUUAAUUGGGGCUGCCCCAGUUAAUGAGAACUAAAUAGCUCUCAUGAUGAAAACAAGUGUUAUUCAUAACAGCUACUUGUAGUGAUGGUGUCUGGCAGAGUACCUUGCUUAUCCAGUGCUUUCCUGUGACAUUCCAUUUUGCUUUUCUCUUGAAGGGUGUUUAUGUUCGUCGGGUUGUGCCUACUGCUCCAGCAAGCAGUGUUUUGUGAAAGGUAACAUGUAGUAAUUAGAUCCAGUUCACAUAUUGAAUACCUUUGGUUGUCCUCCAAUUUUUGCUGAUCUAUCCCACAUAAUUUUUCUUCUUUUUUCCACACAAUUUUUCUUCUUCUUGCCACAUAAUUUUUGCGGCUACCAUGUUUGACAAUAAAAAUUGGUAUACAGUCAUCUACAAAAAUCAUCCCCUGGAUACAAAUAGUACAUCCCCCUGGUACAAAUAGUACAUCCCCCUGGUUAGCAAUUUUGCAGAUGUAGAAGUACAGUUCCAUUACCGGUUAACCACUAUCUACGUUCUUAUUUUCACUAGGAGUUACAUUAAAAUAAUUCAUUCAUAUGUUCUGUAUAAAGGAAUAGACAAAAAUGGCACCACUUUGUUUUACCUAUGUACAAAUAACUGUCUGAUUGGAUAUUACAACAACAAACAAGAAGAGGCGCUUCAUGAUCAUUUGAUUUAGAACUACAACCUAAAAAAUAAAUGGUCUGUCCAGUUAUUAAUAUUCUGGUUUCAUACUGCAACAUAGAAAAGUGAUUAAAACAAGCCCAAGUAAUCUGUCCUGCUGCACUUUCUUAUCUAUAAUCCUGAUGCCAAUUUGUUUCAUGUGCCUGGAAGUGAUGGGAGAAGGUGCAGGAGAAGGAUUUAGAAGUUCUUAAUUUGCAGGUGCAAUUUUUUUAUGUGACGCAUCUAUGUGACGCUUGACUUAUCUUAUUUCCAAAAUCAAACACUUCAUACUCGUGCUAAUGAUUAGAACCUGAUGAUUGGGAAGCUGAUGAGGAUGUCGAUCUCGAGACGGCUAAUGAAGAUUCCAACGAACCCGAUGUACCGGAUCCAAACGAUGCGGUUUAUGCUAAUGUCCCUGACGAGACGCACAUGCUCAAGCUAGAGGAUAACUGCAAGCACUGCAAUGCAAAGAAGUUUGAGUCCGAGCCACCUGAAUUCUGUUGUCAUAGACACCACCGGAACUCGUGAGACUGUGGUUGAGCUCGGACGCUGAUGCUAGGCAUUUCCGUGCAAACAUCAGAUAUUUCAAUGAACACUUCUCUUUCACUUCUCUAUACUGUAAACUUGAUCGUGUGACCACCGACAUGACAAACUGUGGAAUUUACACAUUUCAUGCCCAUGACCAAAUCUACCAUAACAUAUGAUCAUUUGGUAAAGAGGAUGGUCACGAACCUGGACACCUCGAGCUUUAUUUUUACGACGACGAUCUGUCUCUUCAGCAUAGGCUCCGCAAGUGCCGUGAGAAGUCUGCCCAAGAAGAUAGGAGGUCAUCUAGAGGCUAAAGGACAUCUUACAUGGCAUUAAUCCCUGCUUAGAGAAUCUUAGGAGUAUAGGCCAGGUUGACAACCUUGAGGAUUACUAUGUCGAGUUGAACCUUGACCAACGGCUAGACCAGAGAACAUAUAAUGUGCCAUUAACGUCGUUGCUGCCGUUUGGAUUGAGGGGAGCGAGCCUCGGGGCCAGUUCGAUAAUAGUGUUGUCCUCCAAGGGAAGGAUAGGUCGAUCCAUGGUAUUCGGCCCUAUCGUGUGUGCUACGAUGCUCUCUCAUACCCGCUAUUCUUUCCAAGAGGUGAGCUCGGGUGGCACAAUUGCAUUCCAAAAGUUGGUGUGACUGAGGUUGAAGUAAAUAAAGCUCGAGCGAUCCGCAAGGCGCGUGCUGAUGGUGGUGGCGACAAUGAUGCUGGUAAAUUCAUAUGUCUUUAUAGUGUCUUACAAACAUUAGACAAAUUUUCCGCAUGUCGUCAAUCACGGCCGCCUUUUUUUGGUUCGUCGUUUGGCUUCGUUUGUCUGCCUCGCCGCUCAGUUUUUCUCAAGAACAGUCCGUCUCCCCGCCCACGUUCGCCGACAGACGCACCUCACCUCCUCCGUGCUGCACCCGGCCGCACCUCCUCCAUCCGCCCUCCGCCACUUAGCCAAGCCGUGCCUCACCUCCUCUGUCCUCCGAGCGCGGAACCACGCCCGCGCUUUCCCCGCCCGGCCGCACCUCCUACCUGCUACGCUCGGCCGCAGCUCCUCUGUCCGCCGCCAAGACGGGCCACCUCCGUCCGCUGGGCGUCCAACACCGGCGCGCCACUGCCCAGCUGCCCCUCCACACCCCUCCACACCGGCGCCAUCCCCGGCUGCUCCUCCAUGAAGGGAUCUCCAAAUUAGUCCCAUAUGCAGCGGAGGUGAGAAGAUGGAGGCACGAGAGGUGGGGCCUAUCUCGAGCCCGGUGUCAUCUGCCUUCAUGAAGGGAUCUCCAGGUUAGUCCCUUAUGCAUGCAAACAAAUCUAAUCAGCAGCCUCUCCUUUGCACCAACGAACAGAUCCAAUUGUUCUUGAAAAUCAGGUCCAAGUUCACAUCUCUUUUGCCCUCCCACUCAAAGCACAAUCAGCCAGCGCGACAGGGAUGGCGACACAGACACCGACGGCUGGAGCUCCCUCAAUGCUGCCAGGUAAUUGACUAGCCAAUUACUAUUUGGAUGUGAUGCACAUUGGUCACGGAUUUGUAAAUCUAUCAGUUCCUGCUUCCUGCAUCCAUUUGUGCAGUUCUUGUGGUGGAUGCAGUGCACUGAGUAUAGAAAUUAUUUUUGAUUACUUCUGUGAAACGUUUUGGCCUUGGCAAGUAUGUACAGAUUUAGUUGUUGUUUUUUCAGUCAGAGGUGAGCUACGUGUAUGGGAAAGAAAAACUUGAUUGCUUGUUCUAGAUCUUGCCUUCAUAUAAACUGUGAUGCUAUCAACAUGGAGAUUUGAUGCAUUCUACUCUCUCUCUAUUUAACAUGGAAAAGAACUCGUGUUUACUCAAUAAUGCUUAUGAAUUUUCCUUAGAGUUGCAUUUAUUCAUCAUUCUAAAGUAUUCCGUGUCAAGUAAACUCAUACUUCUAAUUUUUCAAAAAAAAAAUCUGAAAUCAAUGAACCCCUCCUUCCUUGUGAAAUUGUUGUACCUUUUUUCUUAUGACAUCUUAUCUACUUCCACUUUCCUGGUGCAGAAUUUUUGAAAGUAGGAAACGUAAGCAAUGACAGUGACAGUCGCAGCAAUACUGAGCUCAAUAGGUGAACUAGACAAACCAUUCUGCUGUAGUUCAUUUUAUCACUGCAGUCAUCGUCAGACAAUGAGGUCAGAACCAGCAGGUUCGCAGAGUGACUUGUGACUUGUGGAUAAUCCUGCAGAUUCAACAAUGGUAAAGUAACGAAUGGUUAAGGUAUAAGUAGAUUUACUCAAUUAUACUCCAAUAGCUAAUGCAUUGCAUAUAUUGCUUGGCCGUGUAUAUAAAUAUUACAUCACUGUUCAACAUAAGUAAAUAGCUUAGUCCUUCUUAAGUCCAUUUUGGUAAAAGCUAUAGUUCAAUUAGUUUUCUUGAUUUUCUUAAAAUUUUACUCAAAGUUUGUGCCUUAUGUUGUACAUUUGCCUCACGGGCUGGCUAACUGACCUACAUGAGGCUGGCCAACUGAUCUGGAGGUUCACUAUCUAUGUUCUUUCAUUUCAUUGUCAAACAUAGAUAUUCUAAAUCUGAAAGUCUGUCGAAAUUUCCUAUGGAGUCUUGUGGUACCUUUAGUGUUUCUUAUCAUGUCCAGUAGAAGGUCUUGGAAAACAUAUUUGCAAUACAUGAUAUUUUUUAAAUCAAAAGUAGUAAUAUGCUGUGUAAUUGCCUUCUUGCCUCCUGACAUGUGGCAAAUUCAUUGAGCGUUUUCACUUACAUCGCUGGCAUAUUCAGUGAACAACGCAAAGAUGAUGGUUUUGAGUGAGAGGUCCUUUGGUCAAGGUAAUUUCAGAGCAUUGAUUUUCAAUGUACUUGUAAACCCAAGAGAAAGUUGAGCAGGCCACAUUCAGUUGUUAACUGGACUGUUGGCUUGCUGCUAUGGCAACAUGUUUUCAGCCUUAUUAUUACUUGCCGAGUUUACAUUGGGAUCUGAAAACUGGACUGUGUGCCAUUAGUUUUGUCUGUCUCCAGGACAUUGCCCAUGCACAUGAACUGACUGAUUACCAUGAAAAUUCACCUGUUUCAGUUCCAAACUAAUUAUUGCUUCAAGGUCACAAAGCUAUAUGAAAAUCUGUAUCCAAUUGAAUGCCGGAACUCUCUAGGAUGAUGUCAGGCAUUCCCAUUUAUAGGUUAACCUGAAGUGAUUCUUGAAGAUUAGUUUCUGCGUGGUUGAUUUGAAUUGUUUGUAAUAUUGUAUGCUUCAUCUUGAUUACUAUCAAUUUCACAGGUCAUGUUCAUUGUGAGGAAUGGAGCGCAAUAAUGCUUUGUGGUAACUCUGGGCAGACGAAAAUAGGCCACCUCUACCAUUUUCUUGAUAUUUAUUUUCUGAUAUCUGACUAUUGUAUUUGUCGUGAAAUUUAAAUUGUAGACGCUAUCAGAUCAUGUGUCACUUCAUGCUUUGAUCAUGUGAAAAAAUUCAGUGUAUUUACCCAUGAUCGGUGCCUUGCCCCGAGGGGUCUUUAAUUCCUGGAGGGGUCUUUAAUUCCUGAAUUAGGCAACGGUGAAUUUUCUUCUUAAUAUAUAGAUGCGCAGCUCUCCCGCAUGUUCGAGAAAAAUGAGGCAACAGUGACACAGCGCUGGUAGAAAGUAGAAAGUGAAGAAGCGGUUUGAGCAUAUUGCUACUGACAGCUACCUCCGCAAGAUUUGGCCGGUACUGCAAGCUCUGAGUUUCACAACUCUGAACCACUUGGUAAAAAACAGUCUGAAUUUUGUGUUGUGAUUAACUGACUAGACAUCCGAAUAAAUUAAUGUACUGAUAUUCUGAAAUUUGUUUUAGCACUGGGACUCUCUGGACUAUCCGGUGGAAUCAGGCCUUGGCAGGACUGAGGCAGAUGUGGGGGGUGACACCGUGCAGGUGAGGUGGUGGUGGUAUCUGGCUCUGGCAUCUCCCUUUAUCCGCUUGAUGGAAUGGCAGCAUGGGUAUGGAGACACCUUCAGCAUCUAAACAAAGCCCAAAAGGUACAAAGAUACUAUUUAAUCACUUUUGAUUUGUUAAUUUGCUAUCAUAUAAAUUGCAGUAACAGGUCUUGAGUAAUAUGUCAAUGCUAUAAUUUUGCUUGCUUGUUGUGUGUCCUCUCUAAAAUCUUUUCUUUACCAUAUAUAUCCAUAUGCACAAGAUAUUUGCAGUUACAAGUAUAAUCCUCAAGGAGUGAAAAGCUUGUGAUUCUGUCCGUGCAGGCAACAGGCAUUGAUCGCUAAUCAGCAUGGCCUCCACAAGUACCCAUCAUGGGAAGUGCAGCAACCAGUAUUGUGUUCAAACCUGAAGAAAAUAUAUGGGGAUGGCUGGGUGGCUGCACAGCUCAUGGCAGGGACCAAUUUGGAGUCUGCAUCUUCUUUCCCAUAUAUAUAUGAUAUUUCCAUAUACUGUCAGGAUGCUAUUAAACUGCCUUCACCAGAUUACAAUAAACUGUGAACUUCAGAACUUUAAUUUUCGAUAAGUUGGAGUCGACGCUUAAAACUUCAGAGCUUUAUUUACUCCUAUGUACCAACAGCUCUAAAUUUUUGUGCACUGCACCCUUAGUUUUUUAGUGAACAAUACUGAUUGCUGAGGUUAUAAUGCAUCUUUCUAUGUGGGACUAUAGUUUUGUCAAGUAAGGCUAUGUACACAUUGAUAAAUCUGCUUCAGAAUAAUAUUGCUAAUAUCUCACUAUCUGAAGAAAGUCAGGUUUAUCAGUUAUUUAUAGAAGACUUGCUUGUUAGAAAGGACCUAAAUAGGUUUUCUUUGUCUAUGUGAAUUUUCGGGGAAUUCUGCUUAUCUUCCACGGAUAGAUGCUACUUCUCCUGUAAUAUUGAAUUGGGUCAUGUGUGUGUCAGCUCUUUGCUUGCCAAAGGAGCUUGUGACUUGCAACUACUACUACUUAUUCAAUGAUCUCUAAUAAUUGAAUCAUUUUGUUCAGAUUCUAAUUAUCAGGUCUUUUCCUCAUCUCUUUAUGUUUUGAGGUGUUGGAUGAGAAAGGGUUAAUGGUGGUUGCUACCAUUCUACAAGAAAUUAGAGAUUGUCAUUAUGAGUGCUGUAGUUGAAGUGGGGUUAAUGUUAAACCAUGAUGGUACCAAGGAGACUUCAUCCAUUUGAAUAUUCUACACUCAAGAAACAGAAAGGUGACAGUUGUCAAAUACAUAUUAUGAACUAGCUGAAAUUAAAAUAUUCUUGUAUUCCUUAGAUUAUUUGUGUCAUGCAAACUCCACUUUAGAAAAUUCCAUUCUAAAUUGCUGUGUGAGAUUAUGUACCAUUCUAAUAUGAUCUCAUGGGGGAAUUAUUUAGCCCAUAGCAACGCACGGGCACGAUCCUAGUGGAAUUGAAAAGAAUAGAGAUCGCGUAUGACAAGAGUACUCUAGGUAAUAUUUCUUCAAAUACCGAUUCAGCUCCCUCAUUUUCACUUCAAUAUUUUCACCAAUGGUAUAGAAAUAGAACUUGAUGAAUUCCACGUCUCAUCGAGCAAAACAUCUCGAAUUGCUAGCAACAUCUUCAAGAAAAGGUGGGCUGUAGGAUGCCUGUUUGCGGAGAAUGCUUUGGUUGCCUCACUUAAAGCAUCACGAAUGUCCUUUACUGCUUUGUUAUUCACACUAGCAUUGUCUAAUGUCAAGGUAAACAGCUGUUCAAUCAACUCCCACUUCAUCAACCACAACUUCUUGUCCUAGAUCCAUAUCACCUAGAUGACACAACUUCUUAGCCUUCGGCCUAGUAUCUUCCAAGUGAACAAAAGAGCCUGGAAUGUGAAUAAGAUCAACAAAUUUGAAUAAAAUACCAACUUGUUUUGGUUUUACUGACUGCUUGUAUUUUUAGUACUACAAUGAGUAGGUUUGAAGAAAAUAUGAUUCUGUAUAUGAUGCAGUUGUUUUGGCUCACAGCUAACUGUAUUUUGUUCCCAUGAUAAAAAAAUUCUGAUCAGAAAUCUUGUUUUUUCACUUCAGAUUAGAAGUAAUGUAAGAUGUCAGAUUAAUGGACGAUGAGGAGCAUAAGUUUUAGGCUUCGAGGACACAGUGCCCCUCCAAUUGCAUACUGAUACUGCUAAAACGAAAGGGGACUGAGGUGACUGGGAUAUCAUCAGUAUCAGAUAUACUAGCAGCUAUGUUCAUGAGCUUCUAUGUGGUGAAACAAGCUGGAGAUGACUAAGGUAUAGGAGCUUUUUUUCACAGAACAGUAGGACCAUUUUCACGAGAUUCAACUGCCUGAUCUUAACUGAAUGGUAAACAUAAGCAAUACCAGUAUGCAACCAACAAAAGAUCUUGCACUCCCAUCUUACAUUCUCUAAAACAGUAACAAUUCUAAGUUCACAGAUCUAGUGGUACUAAAAAGCUCAAUGAACGAAUUUAAUUUGCCAAUGCCAUCCUCCUGCUCUACAAAACCCAAAAACUCAAGCAGAUUGAAGCUGCAAAGGAGAGUUUAAAAAUAGCCAACACUAGCAGAAUACUGCACGAACUAGGCACAGCGCAGUAUAAACAAAAAGACAAAUAGGAAAGGCAAACACAUCAGAUGAAAAUCACCUGCACGCCGACGCCACCUGCGUCCGCUGCUGAGGCCGCCUGCUCUUGCUGGCCGCCGCGCGUCGGCCUAGCCGCACGCCCUGCCGGAGCCCGCCGGGGGCCGGCCCCACGGGAGCGCCUCGCACCCCCGCACCGCCCGGAUCUUGAGUUCUUGCGCCGCCGCCGCCGCCGCACGAGCCUGGAGAGGCCGCGAAAAAGAGGAGAGCCCCUUUCCUGCGAUCCACGGGCUCAGCCCUUCCAAUUGACUCAAGGAUCGAUUAUGGGCCACGUUCACAGGUCAGCCCUUUUAUGGAGAUGGCCCGAUCUGAUCCUGCCCAUUCUUCGGGAAGGCCUUUUAAGGCUCGGCCUAUAUGAGCUUGUAAGGCCCGAUCGGUUUGGCCCUUGGAUUUUCCAGGCUUAAGUAUAGGUAUAAGGUUUUCUACGUAUCUAAAAUAUUUUCCACUAGAAAAGGUUUUCUACGUAUGUAAAAUAUUUCCACUUGACUACCCGAUAAGGCAAUCAUUCGUGUGGCACAUGCCCGGGGCCUACUCGGAAAGUGAGUGCGCAUCCUCUCACAUGAUUGGACACAUCCACUUGACUCCUCAAAGGUCGUCAAUGCUUGCAGCUUGCAUUUUCCACAGAAGCAGCAGCUCUUGAACCCACUGUCCAGCAUCUCCCUCUCCACCCACCAACACUGUGUUUCCCUGUCUACUGCGCGUGUGUUUUGGAGCUCCCGGCGUAGCCAUGGCUGAGGUACUGGCCACCAUGGUGGUCGGGCCACUGGUGUCCAUGGUGAAGGAGAAGGCCUCCAGCUACCUCCUGGACCAGUACCAGGUGAUGGAGGGCAUGGAGGAGCAGCACAAGCUCCUGAAGCGCAAGCUGCCGGCCAUCCUCGAUGUCAUCGCCGAUGCCGAGCAGCAGGCGGCGAAACACAGAGAAGGGGCCAAAGCUUGGCUGGAGGAGGUCCGGACGGUGGCCUACAAGGCGAAUGAUGUCCUCGACGAGUUCAAGUACGAGGCGCUUCGCCGCAAAGCCAAGGUGGAGGGCCACUACAAGGCGCUCGGCAUGGAUGUAAUAAAGCUCUUCCCUUCUCACAACCGUGUUGUGUUCCGUUAUAAGAUGGCAAAAAGGCUCUGCAUGAUCUUGCAAGAAAUUGAUGUCCUCAUCGCAGAGAUGAAUGCGUUCAGGUUCAAAUUCAAACCGCAGCCGCAAAUGCCCAUGCAAUGGAGGCAGACGGAUGCUUGCAUCCCCACUGAGUCUGUGGAGAUUGCCAGCAAAUCAAGAGCUCAAGAGACGAAGGUUCUUGUUGAUCGAUUGCUUGCUGGAGCCAGCAGUAAGGAUCUCAUGGUCCUUCCGAUAGUCGGAAUGGGGGGGUUGGGCAAGACCACCUUAGCACAGCUCGUUUACAAUGACCCUGAAAUUCAGAAGCAUUUCGAGUUGCGGCUCUGGGUGUGUGUCUCUGAGGAUUUUGAUGUGGAUUCCCUGGCUAACAGAAUAGUGAAAGAGAAUGGUUGUAAAGCAAGUGAAAGUUCAUCAGCACUGGACAAUCUUCAAAAGGCAGUGAGUGGGAAGAGGUACCUCCUCGUAUUGGAUGAUGUGUGGAACCGUGAUGAGCCCAGCAAGUGGGAAAGGCUCAAGUCCUACCUUCAGCAUGGUGGCAGCGGUAGCUCAGUGCUGACAACAACUCGCGAUGAAGCUGUUGCUAAACUAAUGAUGGGUACAACUGAAAGAGCCUAUAAACUUGGAAGCUUGGAUGAAGAGUCCAUAGGGAAAAUUAUCAAGGCAAGAGCAUUCGGUUCAAAACAAGAAAAGGAAUGGCCUGGUGAGCUAGUUCACAUGGUUGGUGAAGUUGCCAAGAGAUGUGCUGGUUCUCCUUUAGCUGCUACAGCAUUGGGCUCUUUACUGAGUACCAAGACCAGCAAGCAAGAAUGGAAGGAUGUACUAAAUGGAAGCACGAUUUGUGAUGAGGAAAAUGGGAUUUUACCAGUACUUAAACUAAGUUACAAUUGCUUGCCAUCAUACAUGCGGCAAUGCUUUGCUUUCUGUGCUAUGUUUCCCAAGGAUUAUGAGAUUGACGUGCAAAUGCUAAUCCACUUGUGGAUGACCAAUGGUUUUAUCCCAGAGCAAUCAAAAGUGUGUCCUGAAACUUUUGGAAAAGGAAUUUUCAUUGAGCUGAAGUCAAGGUCAUUUUUUCAGGAUUUGAAGAAUGUCCCAUUUUACGAAAAUGGAUAUUCUAUUCAUGGAGAGGGUGAUGAGCACAGGUAUUGUUCUAGAAUUACUUGUAAGAUCCAUGACCUUAUGCAUGAUGUUGCACAGUCUGCUAUGGGAGAAGAAUGUGCUGCAAUAGCUACACACCCAAGUGAAAGAGAGGAUGUUCUUCGUUCAGCUCGUCACUUGUAUUUGUCAAUCCGUCGAUCAGAAACUCUUCUGAGUGCUUCCCAAGAGAAAGGAUCUCCAGCUUUCCAAACACUGAUUUGUGACGGAUAUGUAGGAGAUUUGAAGAUUUUAUCAAAAUACAAUUCUAUAAGAGCUUUAAAGAUCCGUUGUGGUUCAAUCCUAAGGCCGAAAUAUCUUCAUCACCUGAGGUAUCUUGAUCUCUCGAGAAGUGAUAUUGAAGCACUUCCUGAAGACAUUAGCAUCCUAUAUCAUCUGCAAACACUGAACCUUUCUUACUGUGACUGGCUUGAACGGCUUCCAAAGCAACUGAAGUAUUUGACUGGCCUCCGUCACCUCUACACUCACGGAUGUGAAAAGUUGAAAAGCAUGCCUGCAGAGCUCGGACGCCUGACUUCCCUACAGGCGCUUACAUACUUUGUAGCAGGUACCGAUGACUCCGGUUGCAGUAAUUUGGGAGAGCUGCAGAAUUUGGACCUUGGUGGUACACUGGAGCUAGGAAAUCUAAAAAAUGUGACAGGAGCAGAUGCACAAGCAGCAGGUCUUGGAAACAAGAAAAAACUGACCCAACUGGAGUUAUGUUGGACUGAUAGUGACCAGGAAGCACAGAAUAAUAAUCAUAAAGAGGUGGUGGAAGGUCUCAAACCUCAUGAUGGGUUAAAGGCUCUGAGGAUAAAUCACUACGGGAGCACAACUUUUCCAACGUGGAUGAAUACUUUGAAAGGCAUGGUGGAGCUCACAUUAUUCCGUUGCAAAAAGCUCGAAGAGCUUCCUGCACUCUGGGAGCUAUCAGCUCUGCAAAUUCUUCACCUGAAGGGUUUGGAGAGUUUACAUUGUUUGUGCAGCGGUGGUACUACACCCAUCACAUUUCCAAAACUGAAUGUACUUAUCUUGUUAGAAAUGGCAAAAUUUGAGGCAUGGCGGGAGGCACAUGAGGUACAAGGAGAAGAGCCGAUAUUUCCCAAGGUUGAGGAGCUGGUGAUUAAGGAGUGUACAAGUUUGACUGCAUUACCAAAAGCAGCGUCGGUGAUUACAGAAUUGUCUGGCAGAGUUGACACUAAGUGCCGCUCUGCAUUUCCAGCAUUGAGGAAAAUGAAGCUAUAUAAGUUGACUGUGUUUGAAAGAUGGGAGGCAGGCGAAGGAAUUUCAGGCGAAGAGGUAACCUUUCCUCAGCUUGAGGAGCUGUCAAUCGAGUAUUGUGGCAGCCUGAGUGCACUACCAAAAGGGCCAUUUGGCGGAGCUGAAACUGUGUGUUGCUGCUCCGCAUUUCCAGCACUGAGGAAACUAGAGUUAUCUGGUUUGUUGGCCCUUGAGAGGUGGGGGGCAGCCGAAGGAACUCCAGGAGAAGAGGUAACAUUUCCUCUGCUGGAGAACUUGAGUAUCCAUGAUUGCCCGAGGUUGACUGAUCUACCUGAAGCACCGAAGCUAAGUGAAUUAUCCAUAAGUAAAGGACAUGGUCAACAACAAAUAUCCCUAGAGGCAGCUAGCAGAUGCAUCCCUUCAUUGUCCCGUCUGACUCUGACCGUGUCACCCGAUGACACAGAAACAACAUUGCUGCAUGUCAAGAAUAAAUUGAAUGGUACACUCGCCUUGGCAGCUAUGCGGUUAGGUCGGUGCGACAUUUUUUUCUCCUCCAGCUCAAGCGCACUGGCGCUAUGGACAUGUUUUGCACAGUUAGUAGAUUUGGAUAUUUGGGAUUGCGAUGCUCUUGUCUACUGGCCAGAAAACGUGUUCCAGGUCCUGGUAUGCCUGAGGAAGUUAGCGAUUUCCAGAUGCAGCAAACUGACAGGACGCACACAAGCUUCUGAUGAGCAAUCUGCUCCAGCUCCAGAACGUGGUGGACUCCUGCCAUGCCUGGAGUCUCUAGGGAUAGUAGAUUGUGAAUCUUUGGUAGAGGUCCCCAUCCCGGCAUCUCUCAAGAAAUUACGUAUUUGGGGCUGCAGUAGUAAUGUCGGGUCCAUCGUAUUUGGUCACCCGGAGGAUACGAGAUUGGUGAGUGGAGAAGGUGUUGUACGGCCGAAUACGUCAUCAUUAAUUCCAGGGUCCAGCAGCAGUGAGGCCACAGCGUCUACAGCUGUACUGAAGCUGUCAUCUGCAGCCAACCAUCGCUUCCUUCCAUUUCAAUGCCUAGAAUUUCUAGGUAUAGCGUGUUGCAGUGGCUUGUCAGAGGUUGCCAAUCUUCCUCCGUCUAUCAAGACCUUGCGCAUUUGUGGCUGCGGCAAGUUUCAAUCCCUAUCAGGAGACCUCCGGUUGCUGGAAGAACUCAAGCUUUAUCAUUGCGAAAGACUGGUAUCCUUACCGGAUGGGCCUCAAGCAUACUCAUCUCUUAGAGUUCUUCGGAUUGAAAAUUGUGAUGGUAUAAAGUUGCUUCCGCCAAGCCUACAGAGCCGUUUGGGCUACCUCGAGGAGAAAGAUCUAGAUGCCCGUUACGAAGGUAAUCUCCAGUUUCUUUGUUUCUUUUAACAAAAUGAUCAAGAGCUCAAUUGUUGUUACCUAAAAUGCAACUCUGUGCUUAAACAUUCUGUUAGCUAUUACAAGAUGUGGUAGGAUUUAGUGGUAAGAAGUUUAUGAGUAUUACUCUGUGUUAAACAUUCUGUUAGCUAUCUAGCCAAGCCGUUCAUGAUGUAUACAUUAUAUUGACUAUUGAGUACAAUGCACCACUAAUAUUUAUGUGCAUGUGUGUCAUCGAAAUACAUUAACUUCGUGUAUUAUUGCCAUUCGGGGUAUCUAAACACGUACAACCAGAUCAAGAACCGCAGUCAUCCUUGUAUUUAUAGCUAUAAGAUGAUCUUUGUUGUUCACUUUUGAUACCUUGGUUGUAAACUUGUAAUUGCUAACUCGAAUCAUGUAAUAAAAUCAAUCAUCUUCCUUUAGUUGUAUUUAAAGCAGCAUGGCAUCAUGGAAUUAUUGCAGCCGAAUUCACUAGCUCCAAUUAAAGUGGCACUUGUCCUAGCGUUUCUCUGCAAAUUCACUAGCUCCAUUGCAUACAGUUCAAGUAUGUGUAGUUUUCUUUUCAUGGCUUAUGCCUUUUGACAUAAAUAAUAAUUUUCCUUUCCUUUGAAACAUUUACUAUUGGGUACCACAGCAUAUUCUCCUGUGUAUAUAUAUACUUUCUAACUUUGUGUUGAUUUGCAUGCAUAAAUUCUAACAUCAUCUGUGAUCAUGGCUAUAAGAUGAUCUUUGUUGUUCACUUUUGAUACCUUGGUUGUAAACUUGUAAUUGCUAACUCGAAUCAUGUAAUAAAAUCAAUCAUCUUCCUUUAGUUGUAUUUAAAGCAGCAUGGCAUCAUGGAAUUAUUGCAGCCGAAUUCACUAGCUUCAAUUAAAGUGGCACUUGUCCUAGCGUUCCUCUGGAAAUUCAUGAUCACUAGCUCCGUUGUAUGCAGUUCAAGUAUGUGUAGUUUUCUUUUCAUGGCUUAUGCCUUUUGACAUAAAUAAUAAUUUUCCUUUGAAACAUUUACUAUUGGGUGCCACAGCAUAUUCUCCUGUGUAUAUAUAUACUUUCUAACUUUGUGUUGAUUUGCAUGCAUAAAUUCUAACAUCAUGGCCUGAUUGCCAGAAUUGCCAGAACCAACCUGGAAACGUUCAAUCAGGAAGCUGGUGUGCUCGAAAUAGUAGAUCAAGGCCUGACCAAAGAAAAUUAUCUCCAAGGUAUUUUUGCAAAGAUAUCACCAAGGUUUGUAAUAUUAGUGUUCUUGAUGAUUGAUUGGAAAUGAUGCUAGCUCCUAAUGCUGACUUCCUAUGCGCUGUGACUUCCUUGUAGGAUGGUGCCAGACCUGCAAAAGAUGGAUUAUUGUGACUCUUGUUUAGAAUGUAUCAUAUGGGCAUUCUGAAGAUAUUCUCCAGUAAAGUCAAGGCAAAGUUCUAGAUUUUGAGCAGAAAACAAGUCCUAGAUUGCAAGCUGAAGAAUUUAGCACACAGAGCUGCGUGCUCCAGUCUUUUAUCCUUCUUCAAACCGAAGACCUUUAUUUUGAGCAGAAACGAAGUCCCAGACUGCAAGCAGAAGAAUUUAGCAUACAGAGCUGCGGGCUCCAGUCUUUUAUCCUUUUUUUUUUCUUUUGAGCCAUGACUUGUUUGCAUUCGUGUCUGCUUCAGCCUCCAGCACAAGCGAAACACAGGCAGCACUUUCAUUUUAUGAUUUGUCUAUCCACAUACAUGACCGACUGCCAUAGAGUAGACCAACAGUCCAACGUACUCAUGUUGUUGCUCGACAAGCUGUCCAAGCUGCUGCUUGAUAUGAACUGAAAGUGCUGAACUUUGUCCAUGUUAUGUUGGUAGUAUAUCUAAUACUGAACUUCAGAGUAGAACAACAGUCCAACGUGCUCAUGUUGUUGCUCGACAAGCAGUCCAAGCUGCUGCUUGAUAUGAACUGAAAGUGCUGAAUUUUCUCCCGUGUAUGUUCUGUGUUACUGUGUAUCAAAUACUGAAUGGUGUGCAGGGUGAUCCUGCAUCCUGGAAUGGCACGGUCUUGUGCAGAGGUCUCAUUGUUGUUGACCUGUUUCUUCAAAACUGCAUGUGCAGCAACAUUUUCUCCUGGCAGUGCUGCAAUGGAAUUGAAAAGAAUGGUGAUUGUUAUAGUAUAAUUGUCAUAUAUAGGCUGGGACACAAAACAAUGGAUGUACAUGAGCAAGGAAGAAGCUCUGGAUGCAGGGGAUGGAACAGAACAGAGACACGGACUCUGUCAACAGCGAUGCUCCCCAAGCGAGCAGAGGCAGAGCAGCGAAGCCCGCCUCGCAAUCUCCGCUACCCCCAUCGAAGUUGCCACACGCCACCGCAUCUCCCUCCACUCCGCUCCCACUCCCCCGCCACCGCCAUGGCCGCCGCCGCCGCAGCGCCCUCCCUCCUGCACCCACCGGCGGCCCGCAAGGCCCCCACACCUUCUCCCUCUCCUUACCCUUCCCCAUUCCUCCGCCUCCCGGCCCCCGCGCACCCGCGCCUCCCGCUCCGCCUCCGCUCCACCUCCCCGGCCGCCGCCUCCGACCUCACCGACUUCCCCAACCCGAACGGCAUCCUCGCGCCCAUCGACGUGGACGCCGCCACGGAGGCGGAGCUUCGCGAGAACGGGUUCCGGAGCACGCGCCGCACCAAGCUCGUCUGCACCGUGGGCCCGGUCACCUCGUCGCCCGAGCAGCUCGAGGCGCUCGCCGUCGGCGGGAUGAACGUCGCCCGCCUAAACAUGUGCCACGGGGACCGGGAGUGGCACCGGGGCGCCAUCCGGGCAGUCAGGAGGCUAAACGAGGAGAAGGGCUACGCCGUCGCCGUCAUGAUGGACACCGAGGGCAGCGAGAUCCACAUGGGGGACCUCGGCGGCGCCUCAUCGGCCAAGGCGGAGGUGAGGUGCUGUGCUUGUAUGUAAGCUGCUGUCCAGUUUUGGACUUGGCGUUGCAGUUUUCAGUUUUCAGAUUGAACGUAUUCCGUGAAAUGUGCUUGUGCAAUGUGGCAAUGUGGAUGAGAGGGGUGGUGGCAGUGGCAGUGUCAGGCAUUGCCGUUUCAUACUUCUGCAAAACCUAGCGAGUCAGGAUUUCACCAAAAUGUUUUUUUUCCAUCUUCGAAAUGGCUCAGUUGAUUUAGAUUUUCAGCUCAUGUUUGAAAUUGUUAUAGAAGGAAAAACAUUCAGAAUUUCAGAUUGUCAUCAAACACUGGAUUGUGAAAGUGGUAAUCAUUUUCAAGGCUUUCAAUCUUUCAAAAAAAUUUCAAGGCUUUCAGUAUCAGUGCAACUCAAAUAAAGUGCAUGGUAAACAUCACCAUGUUUUGGCUUUCUCUGCAUAUAAGACACGGUGCUGGAGUGGUUCGACGGCGCUGAGGUCCCAAUCCAACCAGUCAGGUUUUUUCAAGGUGUCGAGUUUGAGUGCUUACCUGCGUUGGCCCCAUUCCAACCGGGCGAGUCUUUAUUUAUUUUUCGUUUCUUUUCUUUUUUUGCCUAUGGCCUCCCAGGACCGUAGUCUUGUAUUUUCUAUUAUAUCAAUAGAAACUCGCACUAUCUUGUGCGGUUCGUUCAAAAAAAAGUGAUAGGCAUUGAGCUUCUGAAGGUCGUUGUCUAGAUAUUAGGCCCAAGCCUCAAUGGCUUUUUUUUCCCUGUUGCAAACCUUCCUGUAAGUAAAGGGCACACCAGUGCGAAAGCUCCCACACAAGGUGGGGUCUGGGGAAGGGAAUUCCUAGAUAGCCUUACCCUUGCAAAAUUCUUUUAAAUUUUUGCAAAGAGGUUGGUUCGAACCCAGGACCUCCGGGCCACAAGUGGAGAGUUUUACCACUGUGCCAGGUCCGCCCUUCUAGCAGAAUCUCUUAUGCUAGGUUUAAUUUGAAUUAGCUUUAUUAGUAGAAUGCUUGGCCCAUUUAUUGGUAAAUGGUAAAAUUCAUAAAGAUUAUCCUCAUUCCCUUAAUCAAUUUUAGGUGUUUAACUUGCAGCAAAUUCGAACAAUGACAGACAUGCAGCAUAUUGUUAGUUCAUCUGUAAGACUUGGCUUGCUGGUUUAAUGCUUUGUUAAAGGUUUGAAGUUAAUGUGUCUACUGGUAGCUAUUGAAUCUCUUUAUAGUUUAUUUAUAUCUUUUUUCUUUAUUAGUAUAAAGCCAUGUAGAAGUUUUCAGAAUACUGAAAUUUCUAGUGUUCGUUUUGUGGAGUCUCUGCACCUACAUCCUUUUUUGCAACUGCAUUUCAGAUCCUUCAGUUAUAGCAUGAAUAAUUUUUUAAAAAAGAAAAUUCUAGGUAGAUUCUUGCCCGUAGUUAAUGGUAGUGUCCGAUGAUAGUUGUGUUUUAGAUAAUACAUUAAUAUUAGUAAUCCAAAGAAACUAAACUACUUCCAUGAUGCUAAAUGUCAUCAGUGCUAGCUAGGGUCACUAUACCAAAAAGGAGAUUCUAUCACCAUUCGGCUGUUUAUCUUAAGUUUUUAACCAUACAGUUAGAAGUUUGAUUGUACACCUAUUCAAUAAUCCAAGGUUUUCUUGAGCCACGUUAUUUACCCAAUGACUUCCAUUUUUCUUGGCAUUAAAACCUUUCUGAAGUAAUUAACAAAUCAUGUCACAUUUGUUGGAUUCCACAGGAUGGAGAAGUCUGGACAUUUAGUGUUAGGUCAUUUGAAUUGCCUCUCCCAGAACGAACUAUUAAUGUGAAUUAUGACGGGUUUGCUGAAGGUAUGUAAGCUGACCUAUUUGUUGAUAUCUUUUGCUGUUAUUGUUCACUGCCAUAAUUUUGUCCUACACAGAUGUGAGAGUUGGUGAUGAGCUUCUUGUGGAUGGUGGAAUGGCUCGGUUUGAGGUGAUUGAGAAGUUGGGACCAGAUGUUAAGUGUCGCUGCACAGAUCCUGGUUUAUUGUUGCCACGUGUGAAUCUUACAUUCUGGCGUGAUGGCAGUAUUGUCCGUGAGAGGAAUGCUAUGCUUCCUACAAUUUCAUCAAAGGUAAAUGCACUAGCAUAAUAAAUUUCUUGCUGUAAUUACCAAAAGACCGCAAAACUUUGUUAAUCUAUGCCACCCCUUGGUACUAGUAUUGCAAUGGAUUUACAGCUUGGUUUUUUUUGUCAAUGCCAUGGUCAGUUCAAAACAACAUGUAUUAGUUCAAAGCCUUACAUUGUGCACUGAAACUCAUCUCUUGAUAGUUUUUAUCAGCUAUUUCUUAAGAAGGCUUCUACCACCUAGAGUUGUUUAACUGAAAAUUUAAUCUUCUAGUAGCAGAUACUAAUAUUAUAAGUUUAUAAUAAUGCUGCUCCUACCCCCGACGCAGCUUGCCGGAGGCCCUUGACGCAGCGCUGCCAUCCGCAAGCCCUAACGCCGCCGACGCGCCCCUCUCCUCGGUUGAUUUGGGAAGGCGCGGGACUGAGGCAGGGAGAUUGGGAAGCAGAGCUUCCUGUUCCUCGUCUGCUACUCUGCUUCAAUUGGGCACCGGGAAAAGCGAUGCUGCCGGGUGCUCGGGUUCUUGGAGAGGGGAUGGAAUGGAAUGAUGGAUCGAUGCGGGAUGCGUUGCUGUUGCUAGCGGCUUCUGAUUGGAGAGAGGAGAGAAGCUGGUUGCUUGUGUUACCGUGAACGUGAAGGAAAACAGAGUAGGGAGGAGAGCAAGCUGCUGGUGCAGGAGCAUCAUGGCUACGGCAAUGGCAGCGGUGCGGUUCGUUCCGUCAAAUCCCAGAUUUCGGCCACAUUUGAUUGAUGCGAUUUAAUUUGAUUCCUUAUUGGUCGCCAGCCACGCAUUCGAUUCAUGGACGCGCAGGCCCCGGUGGUGAUGCAAGCCACGGUGGUUCCUGCAUGACAAUAGGUUCUUGUUACAAGACAGUCAUCAGUCAUAUUGUGAAGAACUGAUGGCAGUUUUGAACACAAAUAUAGGAUUUCAUCACGAUACACUAGAGGUUUACAAUCAUCAACUACUGCAGGGGAAAAAAAUGGAGCUAGUAUUUUUGAAAAAUGGCCCGAUGUUGAAUCUGUGAUAAUGCAACUUAUGUAGCAGAGCAACCAUGGUAACACAAAAAUGUGCCAAGAGACUGACCUGAUCUUCUUCAGCCUCUCUCCAGGUCAUCCCCGAGCUUCAUGUCAAGAGCGUUGGAAACAACCUGGGAGAACCUACAUCCUUGUAAUCCUUCUUCAUGAUGAGGAAUCAGUCAGGGACCAUGAACUGGCGAGGGUUAGGAACCACAUUCUUGAGGCGCUCAAGCUCAUCUGGGGACACCUCACGAGCUCUGCACAAAAAUAUUAUCAUCAGAGCUAAACUUCAUGCAAUGGGGCAUUCUAGCUGUAGCAUACAACAACCUACUGGCCCAGUUUGUUAUUGCGGCACAUGGAAAAUUAGUGGGAAAGUGGUGCGAUGCACCCAUCUCAAAUCUCCAACUUCAAAAAACAUGAAUGCCAAAGACUUCUGCAUAGGCUGUCUUUAGAUGGCAGAUGUUUUUUAAAACACGUUUUCCAAUGGGCUUCACUCUCAAGUAGAUUCAGAAAAGCUAAUUGAUGAUCGGCACCAAGCCACAGAUGACUGCCACUAAUGAACAGUCAGUAGAUAAUUUCUGCAUUGUUGCCUAGAUUUCACCUGAGGAAAACCAAACUGAUUGAACAUCUCGCCACAAUUUCUUAGAUUAACUGAGCCCAUCACCUACGGGAAUGGAAGGAAAAAAAACCGAAAACUGUUACCAACAUUACAAUUUGUCAAAUAAUCUUCAUAUUCGAAUUCCCUAUACAAAAAUACCGCUUUGCCAGACUGGACCAGAAAGCAAACCAAACCUAAAUUCAGUAUAUUUAUACAUGUUGAAUCAUCUCUUGGUCACGUUUUCUUCAUUGAAAAGAAGUAAUGAGAAGAAACAUUCUUCAAAAAUUACUGAUCAAAACCAUAUUUUUAGUGUGCUACGAUUCUACAGCGACUUCAGUACAAUGGAAGCAUUGGUGCUACAACGAGCUUCUGAUAAAGUUAGGAGUGAUUUUAAUCCACUUUUCAACUUGGAAACCAAGUUGAAAACAAGUCUUCCUUUUUGUUAAUGUGUUGCCGUGAGAACAUAGAGUAUGAGCAGUUCAAACCGGUUACCUAAAUUAUGCUUGUGAUCCGUGCACUGUGAUGGUCAAACUUCUCCUUGUUAAAUGGCAAGCUGCUGUUGCCUUGGAUCCUAAGGUCGUGCUGUGAAUGGUAUUGUAACUGUUAAGGUAAAUCCUGUUCUCCAUUUGUGGCCAUGCAUGAGAAUUGAGAACUGGAGAUCAUUCUGAAUUUUUGCUCCUUACAGAUUGCUUUGUGUAUCCCUUGUGCGCCAAAUGGGACUGAAAUUCGUGGCGUGAUACGUCAUCGUGACCUUUUGAAUUUUAGUUGGCUUUGUUUUUGUUUUCGAGGAUUUAACUGUUGUGCCUCCGUCUUCCAUGUGGCGAAGAAAUUGACGCAGUGGGGUCGGGAUGGUGUUCAGCUGCUGUUUGCUGGUAGACUGUUUAUUUUGUUUGGGAGUAUAAAGGGGUGGAUCAUCCAUCAUAUCUAAGCAAUAUGAUUAGUGCAAAUCAUGAUGGUCAACGUCAGGUUUCGUUUUGGGCAACCAACCACAGGGUUUCUUUGAUGGUUUCGUAUUCAUUGUAAUCGCUGUCGUUGCUUGCUUCUUGCUGCCCACAUUCCUAUUCUCCCGUCGGCUCGACGGAGGAUUUUAUUUUAAGAAUGCAGAGAAAGAAACAUGCCUCCGUUUUCCAAGCAAAGCAUAUAUUCUUUCUGGAAGGUCAACGACAAGGCCCCGGCCGUUCCAAGCUUCUCGCUGGCCUAGCCGUCGCGUCCAUUCAAGCUCAGAGGCGACUGCCGUUCCGAGCUCUCCAAGGGCCCGCGCGAUGGGAAGCGGCGCGGUUCUUGACGGUGGUGUUGUUCCUCGCCGCGGGGGUCCUCUUCGCGCCCGAAUCGCUGGCGCCUCGGCGGCCACCGCAUGGGGCACCGGCCUCUGGGUCGCAUUCAUCGGCGGCACCAUCCUGUUCAGGUAAGCAAGCGCCGCCGCUGCCGCUUCGUCCGCCCCAAGAUCAGAUGGUUGGAAACAAGCGAGAGAUGGAUUCUGUCAUGUUUACUAAUAUACCAUUAUACCCAAGCCUAAAUGUGAUAUGCUGCUGCUGUCAUAGCAUUCACAUUCAAAUCCAAUUUCGUGCGCAGCAAUGCACGGCGCCCAUCCUAGGAAGAACUCUGAGGAAAAUGACAAGCCUCAUGAAUCUGUCCUUGGAAUCAUGCGAGUUUUAGUAAAUCAUUGGAAUCCACUGGAUCAUCAUCUUAAUCUGGCAACCAUUGGUCCGGAAAAAUCAUUCUAGUAAAUAUUCACCUUGACGAUCUGUUGGAAGGACAAGGACCACAAAAAUUAUGAAUUGGGAUUUAUGUGCUGUAUUGAGAGAGCCCGUAGGUGCUGGAUUUCUCUGGAAACGUUCUGAAAGUUCUGGUAGUGGUAGCACUGCUACAAUUUUACAAGCAUGUGGGGUUGUUCCUCUGUUUGUUGAUUAGGUAUUAUGUUUUGCAGUCUUAAAGUUCAGAAGGUAAUUACCCAGGUGUGCAAGUAUACCUUCAAGUUUUUUUUUAACAUAGUGUACAUAUUACCUUGUUAUAGUGAGAACAGAGAAGUCCACCGCAAAAGUAUAGCCUAGCAUAUAUUGUUCUUGCAAUAGACCAUGUGUGGAUAUGCCCCUUUGCAGGUCGAUUAUUCCAUUCAGAACAUAGCAUGGACCUCUAUAGUGUUUUGGAUAGAUUUUUUUUUAUUAUAAAGGUACUUGCCGAGGCACCAAUUUGGGAGUCUGCGGGGUAAAAUGUUCCCGGCGUAGUUCAUAUUGACAUCAGUGUGUUCAGCGAUAUCUGUGGCAGCAUUCGUAUACCUGCACCCCUGGAAGACAGCAUCAACCAUCGAGCGUUACCAGCAUGGAUUCCUUCUUUCGGCCCUUAUCUGUAACCUUUCAAACCUUCUGGUCAUCACACCCGAUCCUUACCUGCGCUGCCGCCGCACCGCCACCUCUCCCUCCCUGCGUCGCCGCCGCGCCGCCACCACUCCCUCCCUGCGUCACCGCCGGGACCCCGACGACCCCUCCCACCACUCCCUGCAACUGAAGAGGUAAUCCGACAGCGCCCCCUCCGGGCGCCGCCACGCCGACCCGCCUCCGGGUGCCCAAUUGAUACGCCCGGACCGCUCCUCCUCCGUCCGCUGCCCAACCGUGCCUCCUCCGGGCGCCCAACGCCGGCGCACCCCCUGUCCGGUUGCCCCUCCGCGCCAGCGCCCCCCUUCCCGGCCUUCUCUCCACCCCUCCCCCGGCCUCCCCUCCACGCCGGCGCGCUGGUAGACGGACGCCUCUGGCUACUUCUGUGCCGGCCGCGCCGCCGCCAAGCUCGCCCCUACGAAAACGGUAACCUCUUCCGCCCAUCUGCACAUCUCCAUGACAAUCCGUUUUUAUGCAUCCUUAUUGAGGCGGAUCUGGUGGUUCGAUUGCAUAGAGGAGGAUAAUGAUUAGUGGAUUUGCUUGAUUGGCAACAUAGUCCAUCAUUUAUUCUCCUGUUCUCCAUUAUCAGUAUUGUGAAAUUGCUUGACAGAUGGCUGGUCACUUGUUUUUUUUUAGUGAUUCCAAUGGUAAUCAUAUCAUACCAGACCUAGAUAGAAUAUAAUAUGAGAUGAUGUUGCAGACUGAGUCAUCUGAUUCUUGCAGUCUAAUUCUAGGAGUUUUAGGCAGUGGCAUGUGAAUAUUAUCAAUACUUCUGCUUCAGUUAACAUAUGCAACUUAUGGGCACUCACAUAGCAGGUUAUUUUUCUGUUGUUUUAACUAACAUGGCAUGACGUGAUGUUUUUGACUGUUUAACUAAUAGAAUCUUUAAGCUUUGAUUGGUACACUCAAACUUCAUUAUUGAGAUUGGUCGACUGUCAGUAUUGUGAAAUUGCUCAACAGAUGGGAUAUUGCUUGCAUUAAAAGAUUAGCUUCAGGAUAUUGCUUCGAUUGUAGAGGAUGAUAAAAGUAUUGAUUUUUCUUUCCUUGUUUUUUAGUCAUUCGUGCUUACUCUCUAGCAAUGGUUAAUUACAACACUGCAGGACUACUAGCUAGCGUAUUUAUCUAGGUUCUGAUAUAAAGCAUAUAACAUUGGAUCUGGGAUAAUAUGUUGGCUAUUUUGUGGCUGGCCCGGAAGCCCAGUGGUUGCUUUGCUUUGCUACCUGCUUUUGCAACUCUCUUCUUUUCUGAGCUCAUUCUUACACUUUAGCCUGCAGUCGAGUAUGUGUGUUAGCUAUUGAGCUGUUUUGCUUUGCUUAAUCAAAUGCUAUAUUACACCAUGUUUUCAAAUUUGUUCCCAUAGUUAUUUAGCUUAACCUCUAUCUCUGAAAUCAGGUACUUGAUAGGAUGAACUGUAGGGGUCUGAGGUCUUUUUUUAAUGAAGCAACAGGGGAGGACCCUACUGACAAAUUUCAGAGGAUAUAUAUCUGUACAGGUUGCAUGGCCAUGUAGUUCCAAAAGAAAAAAAAGGAGGAGAUUUAGAUCCCUCUCCACGAAAUAUUUUCAUGGUUGUCCAUAAAUAUUUGUUUUCUGUGCAUUAAGCUUUUCUGUUGUGCUAAUCUGAUUCAAGGAACCCAGAAUUGCAACUAUCUUAAAUUUUCUUUUUAUAUUCCAUUUUAUAUCAAUUCCAGGUACAUGCAUGAUUGGUAUGGCCAGGUUGAAUGCAAAUAUGUGGCAACACUGAAGUAGAACAAUCAUUAUGAAGCAUGUCAAGUAAGCAUGUUCUAACUUUUGGAAUGUAGCUUCAUGAAUUUGAUUCUUUGAUAUACUAUACAAGGUUGUAUUUGUUUGAUCUGUCACUUAAUUUGACAUUGGAGUUGUCCGGCCAACAAAUCCACAUGUGCCUCCGCCACAUGGACGCCCCCAAGGCCCGUACGUGAUCCCCAGGUCCCUUCCCUUCUGUUUGGUUGCAAACACUGACAGAGAACCAUUUGCAACUGAGCUCAUGACUAACUUAAUGUACCGUUGCUGCUUGCAGGUCACAGCUCAGAUGAGGCAAAGCGGAUAGCUUGAUUACUGGAUGCAGGAUUAGCAUCCACCAUGAGCCUGUGCACCUGGUCCAUCGUAAUUCUUUGAAUUUACUCUAUUGAAUGCAGGGUGUUCCUGAAAUUGCAAGAAUUAUGGCACCAGAUUGGUCGUCGAUGGACAGAAGGCAAUGCUGUGCUGCCAAUUAAGUUGCCUGGUGAUGUUUCUAACAUGCAUUCUGUACUAUCUGACAUUUUAGAUUUCAGGCUGCUAUCGUAUCUGGUUUGUGACUGUAUUUUCUACCAAUCAAGUUGCCAUCAAACUUAAAUAUUGAAGCCUCUGGUGGAUAUGAUGAUGAAUUGACUGUAGACUGUUGGCCCUUGGGCAUUGCAAAGAGAAGGAAAUAUCUGUUAAGAUAGCCAAAACCAUCAAGUUAGUCCAGAUCAUGCGCUACAAAAUUUCACUUCUUUUAUGAACUGCUGUAGUGUGUAAUAUAAAUAAUGCCAUCAAGUUAAUAUGUAUGUGCAAAAAAUCCCCUGACAGGAAAUUAUUAGGAAUUUAUAUUAGAAACAGGAAACAUGAAUGCUGAAGCAUGUUAGAACUGACAAAACACAAUCAGACAUAGGCAGGUUCUUGGGACUGCAUGAAGAGAGACUCAGAUUCCUAAGGAUUGUUCAAGUGCAUUCGAUGUGAUUUGCCGACGAAUGGAACAGAGGAUGGCCUAUGGCCAGAAUGAGCAGGUGAGGCUCCAUACUAUCUUACCGUAUGUCUUCCUCAUGUCUCAUGUGUUGCAUUGCAUGUAACUGUUAAAGUAUCUGUGCUACAGAUCUCACUUUAUUAAAUCAUGUGAGAUUAAACUUACAUUUAUAUUGUCAUUAAUAGAAAUCAACAGAAAAGAGGUACUGAUUGGAUUACUAAUUCAUUAUUUGUAGUUGCCUUAGUCAAGAAUAUAAAUUUGUCAGGGACAACUCAAAUACAGAAACACACUCAUGAUCCUUUGUAGUUUGCAGUAGAUUGCGAGUUUAAUGGUAAAUCUGGACUUGAACUUCUUUUCAGACUCUGUUCUACCACCGAAUUUCAUACUGCAUUACUUCAUGCUCGAAAAAUGGAUGAAAUCAAAUCGAUAGCCUUCCUCGGUUAACCAUUGCAGAGACACCGCUCUUGUAAUUCAGGACAUGGUACUGCUGCACGAAGUGGAGGUGGAAUACCCGGACGGUCGACCCAUCGAAAAGCACCAAGCGAUGCUACUGGAGUUCGGAAAGUUUGAAAAUGGCCAAUCCACCACUGCCAUGUCCCUCACCGUUGGUGUAGCAGCAGAAAUAGGGGCUCUGGUAGUAACCUUAACCACAGUUAUACUUGCAUGAGGAUAAAAGCAGAAACCCCAUGUAUAUUCAUUUACUCUUGCCCCAUGCCAUGUUGCAGCUCUUGCUCCAGAACAAGGUGCAGACGAAAGGAGUGAUUAGGCCUCUGGAACCUGAAAUCUACAUUCCAGGUGAGUGCAACGUGGACCAUGGUUUUCAUGCCUGUCCUUUGUGGAAUCACCGUGACAUGCAACAGUGCUGACUCGUGUGUUUGCGUGUGUGAAGCAUUGGAAAUCUUGGACUCGUCAGGCAUAAAGCUGACUGAGAGAGUGGAGAUUUGAAAAUUCGUGUGUACUCCCUCCGUCCCUGUCGUUUUCGCUUCCUGAGAAACAACUUUGACUAAAUAUAUAUAAAAAAUAUUAAUAUUUAUGAUACAAAAUUAAUACAAUUAGAUAGAUAUUUGAAUCUAGUUUUUUAAUAAAUUUAUUUGAAGAUACAAAUGGUGCACGUAUUUUCUACAAAUCCAGUCAAACUUGCGGCACGGAAACCAAAAGCGACAGUUAUUUAGGGACGGAGGGAGUAAGCAUUGGAGAUCUUGGAGUCGUCAGCCACCAAGCUGACUGAGAGAAUGUAGAUUUGAAAAUUCGAAGUUAAUAGUACAUAGAUAUACUAUAUGAUAAUAGCUGGGUACAUAUAUUCUGUACAUACUAUGUUCUGUCCUAAGAAAGGGUAGGAACUCCCAACAGUUUGUCGUCGUCGUUGUACAUAGAAUCUCAUAAUGUAUAACUUUCAAAGCUCUAAAAACAACAGGUCUUGUGUGCAACGAUGAUAGUCGGAUUAGUUAUACACCAUGUACUUUAGUGUGGCACUAAAUUAUGAAUAGGUUCUCUAUACUUAAAGCUUCUUAGACUAUGAUGUUCGUCAGCUCACUGGUGAUUGGAAAGGCGUCUUUAGAAAUUGCUACGCAAAACGAUUGGGAGUAUAGGGCAACCCUGCUUGCUUAUUCAAAUUGAUGUACCUAAGGGUGUAAAAUGUGAAGAUAUAUGGAAGUCUUGAUUGUGGAGAAAAAUUGUCAAUCAAAAUAGCAUCUUAUUUAUGAGGUGGGGCCUGAUUCGACUCAUGUCGAGCCCUCUCCUUUGCACCAACGAACAGAUCCAAUCGUUUAAAAUCAGGUCCAAGUUCACAUCUCUUUUGCCCUCCCACUCAGAGCACAAUCGGCCAGCGCGACGGGGAUGGCGACACAGCCACCGACGGCUGGAGCUCCCUCAAUGCUGCCAGCAGGUAAUUGACUAGCCUAUUACUAUUUGGAUGUGAUGCACAUUGGUCACGAAUUUGUAAAUCUAUCAGUUCCUGCUUCCUGCAUCCAUUUGUGCAGUUCUUGCGGUGGAUGCAGUGCACUGAGUAUAGAAAUUAUUUUUUAUUACUUCUGUGAAACGUUUUGGCCUUGGCAAGUAUGUACAGAUUUAGUUGUUGUUUUUUUAGUCAGAGGUGAGCUACGUGUAUGGGAAAGAAACACUUGAUUGCUUGUUCUAGAUCUUGCCUUCAUAUAAACUGUGAUGCUAUCAACAUGGAGAUUUGAUGCAUUCUACUCUCUCUCUAUUUCACAUGGAAAAGAACUCGUGUUUACUCAAUAAUGCUUAUGAAUUUUCCUUAGAGUUGCAUUUAUUCAUCAUCCUAAAGUAUUCCGUGUCAAGUAAACUCAUACUUCUAAUUUUUCAAAAAACAAUCUGAAAUCAAUGAACCCCUCCUUCCUUGUGAAAUUGUUGUACCUUUUUCCUUAUGACAUCUUAUCUACUUCCACUUUCCUGGUGCAGAAUUUUUGAAAGUAGGAAACGUAAGCAAUGACAGUGAGAGUCGCAGCAAUACUGAGCUCAAUAGGUGAACUAGACAAACCAUUCUGCUGUAGUUCAUUUUAUCACUGCAGUCAUCGUCGGACAAUGAGGUCAGAACCAGCAGGUUCGCAGAGUGACUUGUGACUUGUGGAUAAUCCUGCAGAUUCAACAAUGGUAAAGUAACGAAUGGUUAAGGUAUAAGUAGAUUUACUCAAUUAUACUCCAAUAGCUAAUGCAUUGCAUAUAUUGCUUGGCCGUGUAUAUAAAUAUUACAUCACUGUUCAACAUAAGUAAAUAGCUUGGUCCUUCAUAAUAAAGCAGUCCAUUUUGGUAAAAGCUAUAGUGCAAUUAGUUUUCUUGAUUUUCUUAAAAUUUUACUCAAAGUCUGUUCCUUAUGUUGUACAUUUGCCUCGCGGGCUGGCUAACUGACCUACAUGAGGCUGGCUAACUGAUCUGGAGGUUCACUAUCUAUGUUCUUUCAUUUCAUUGUCAAACAGAGAUAUUCUAAAUCUGAAAGUCUGUUGAAAUUGCCUAUGGAGUCUUGUGGUACCUUUAGUGUUUCUUAUCAUGUCCAGUAGGAGGUCUUGGAAAACAUAUUUGCCAUACAUGAUUUUUUUUAAAUCGAAAGUAGUAAUAUGCUGUGUAAUUGCCUUCUUGCCUCCUGACGUGUGGCAAAUUCAUUGAGCGUUUCCACUUACAUCGCUGGCAUAUUCAGAAAACAACGCAAAGAUGAUGGUUUUGGGUGAGAGGUCCUUUGGUCAAGGUAAUUUCAGAGCAUUGAUUUUCAAUGUACUUGUAAAGCCAAGAGAAAGUUGAGCAGGGCACAUUCAGUUGUUAACUGGACUGUUGGCUUGCUGCUAUGGAAACAUGUUUUCAGCCUUAUUACUUGCCGAGUUUACAUUGGGAUCUGAAAACUGGACAGCGUGCCAUUAGUUUUGUCUGUCUCCAGGACAUUGCCCAUGCACAUGAACUGACUGAUUACCAUGAAAAUUCACCUGUUUCAGUUCCAAACUAAUUAUUGCUUCAAGGUCACAAAGCUAUAUGAAAAUCUGUAUCCAAUUGAAUGCCAGAACUCUCUAGGAUGAUGUCAGGCAUUCCCAUUUAUAGGUUAACCUGAAGUGAUUCUUGAAGAUUAGUUUCUGUGUGGUUGAUUUGAACUGUUUGUCAUAUUGUAUGCUUCAUCUUGAUUACUAUCAAUUUCACAGGUCAUGUUCAUUGUGAGGAAUGGAGCGCAAUGCCUUGUGGUAACUCUGGGCAGACGAAAAUAGGCCACCUCUCCCAUUUUCUUGAUAUUUAUUUUCUGAUAUCUGACUAUUGUAUUUGUCGUGAAAUUUAAAUUGUAGACACUAACAGAUCAUGUGUCACUUCAUGCUUUGACCAUGUGAAAAAAAUUCAGUGUAUUUACCCAUGAUCGGUGCCUUGCCCCGAGUGGUCUUUAAUUCCUGAAUUAGGCAACGGUGAUUUUUCUUCUUAAUAUAUAGAUGCGCAGCUCUCCCGCGUGUUCGAGAAAAAUGAGGCAACGGUGACACAGCGCUCGUAGAAAGUAGAAAGUGAAGAAGCGGUUUGAGCAUAUUGCUGUUGACAGCUACCUCCGCAAGAUUUGGCCAGUAUCGUGAGCUGAGUUUCACAACCCUGAACCACUUGGUAAAAAACAGUCUGAAUUUUGCGUUGUGAGUAACUAACUAGACAUCCGAAUAAAUUAGUGUACUGAUAUUCUGAAAUUUGUUUUAGCACUGGGACUCUCUGGACUAUCCGGUGGAAUCAGGCCUUGGCAGGACUGAGGCAGAUGUGGGGGGUGACACCGUGCAGGUGAGGUGGUGGCGGUACCUGGCUCUGGCAUCUCCCUUUAUCCGCUUGAUGGAAUGGCAGCAUGGGUAUGGAGACACCAUCAGCAUCUAAACAAGGCCCAAAAGGUACAAAGAUAUGAUUUAAUCACUUUUGAUUUGUUUAUUUGCUAUCAUAUAAAUUGCAGGUCUUGAGUAAUAUGUCAAUGCUAUAAUUUUGCUUGCUUGUUGUGUGUCCUCUCUAAAAUCUUUUCUUUACCAUAUAUAUCCAUACGCACAAGAUAUUUGCAGUUACAAGUAUAAUCCUCAAGGAGUGAAAAGCUUGGGAUUCUGUUCGUGCAGGCAACAGGCAUUGAUUGCUAAUCAGCAUGGCCUCCACAAGUACCCAUCAUAGGAAGUGCAGCAACCAAUAUUGUGUUCAAACCUGAAGAAAAUAUAUGGGGAUGGCUGGGUGGCUGCACAGCUCAUGGCAGGGACCAAUUUGGAGUCUGCAUCUUCUUUCCCACAUAUAUAUGAUAUUUCCAUAUACUGUCAGGAUGCUAUUAAACUGCCUUCACCAGAUUACUAUAAACUGUGAACUUCGGAACUUUAAUUUUCGAUAAGUUGGAGUCGACGCUUAAAACUUCAGAGCUUUAUUUACUCCUAAGUACCAACAGCUCUAAAUUUUUGUGCACUGCACCCUUAGUUUUUAGUGAACAAUACUGACUGCUGAGGUUAUAAUGCAUCUUUCUAUGUGGGACUAAAGUUUUGUCAAGUAAGGCUAUGUACACAUUGAUAAAUCUGCUUCAGAAUAAUAUCGCUGAUACAUUGCAAUCUCACUAUCUGAACAAAAUCAGGUUUAUCAGUUAUUUAUAGUAGACUUGCUUGUUAGAAAGGACCUAAAUAGGUUUUCUUUGUCUAUGUGAAUUUUCGGGGAAUUCUGCUUAUCUUCCAUGGAUAGAUGCUACUUCUCCUGUAAUAUCGAAUUGGGUCAUGUGUGUGUCAGCUCUUUGCUAGCCAAAGGAGCUUGUGACUUGCAACUACUACUGCUUAUUCAAUGAUCUCUAAUAACUGAAUCAUUUUGUUCAGAUUCUAAUUACCAGGUCUUUUCUCAUCUCUUUAUGUUUUGAGGUGUUGGAUGAAAUAGGGUUAAUGGUGUUUGCUACCAUUCUACAAGAAAAUAGGGUUAAAAUAUUCUUGUAUUCCUCAGAUUAUUUGUGUCAUGCAAACUCCACUUUAGAAAAUUCCAUUCUAAAUGGUUGUGUGAGAUUAUGUACCAUUCUAAUAUGAUCUCAUGAGGGGAAUUAUUUAGCCUGUAGCAACGCACGGGCACGAUCCUAAUGGAAUUGAAAAGAAUAGAGAUCGCGAUGAACCACGAGAAUAUCUAGUGUUGGAACGCAAAGCGGAGGGCAAGUACCCAUACAAAAUCUAAUAACUCUGCAACAGCCAUCACUAGCAAGUUGUCAUACACUCAUUAUGGUCUUGGCCACGAGACAUGAGCAAGAGAUGCACAUCAUGAUCUAGGAAGCAGCAGCGCGCGGGUAUGGUCGCAUGGAACAGCCUCUUUGCCCGCGCCGGCCACCCCUUCCACUGCUGCUCAAAAGGUGCUCGACAAAAUGCCACUCCAGGACACUGCCCGCGCCGGCGCGCCUGGGCAGGAAAGAAAACAGGAAAAACUCUGAAAAGGGAGUAGUAAUGCACAGAAACUCACAUUGCUAUUCGAGUUGCCAUGAAACGUUGGGAUGGGUGUAAGUAACGGAUCAUAGAGACUGUCCAUUGUCAACUUGUCAUUAUUAAACAAAACUACUAUUAUUUUCCCUCCUGGCCUCGAGAUGCUAAUGGAUGGCCCAAAACUAAUGCAAGAUGCACAUGCUCUCACAUGGUUGAAGACACGCAGAUCAAGAUGCACAGAUCGAACACAUCUGGACGAACGUGGUUCUAUAUUGCUGUAGUGUAUGCAACCAAUUAAACACAUCCACUUGGCUCCUCCAAAGUCAACGCUCGAAGUCUCCAUUUUCCACAAAAGCAGCAGCUCAAACCAAGCGUCCAGCUUCUCUCUCUCCACCCAGCAACACUGUGUUUCCUGUGUCCUGUCACCUGUGCGUGUGUUUUUGGAUCUCCAGGCGUUGCCAUGGCUGAGGUACUGGCCACCAUGGUGGUCGGGCCACUGCUGUCCAUGGUGAAGGAAAAGGCCUCCAGCUACCUCCUGGACCAGUACAAGGUGAUGGAGGGGAUGGAGGAGCAGCACAAGCUCCUGAAGCGCAAGCUGCCGGCCGUCCUGGACGUCAUCGCCGACGCCGAGGAGCAGGCGGCAAAACACAGAGAAGGGGCGAAAGCUUGGCUGGAGGAGGUCCGGACGGUGGCCUACAAGGCGAAUGAUGUCCUCGACGAGUUCAAGUACGAGGCGCUUCGCCGCAAAGCCAAGGCGGAGGGCCACUACAAGGCGCUCGGCAUGGAUGUAAUAAAGCUCUUCCCUUCUCACAACCGUUUUGUGUUCCGUUAUAAGAUGGCAAACAGGCUCUGCAUGAUCUUGCAAGAAAUUGAUGUCCUCAUCGCAGAGAUGAAUGCAUUCAGGUUCAAAUUCAAACCGCAGCCGCAAAUGCUCAUGCAAUGGAGGCAGACGGAUGCUUGCAUCCCCACUGAGUCUGUGGACAUUGCCAGCAAAUCAAGAGCUCAAGAGACGAAGGAUCUUGUUCAUCAAUUGCUCGAGAGCAGUAAGGAUCGAUUGCUUGCUGGAGCCAGCAGUAAGGAUCUCAUGGUCCUUCCGAUAGUCGGAAUGGGGGGGUUGGGCAAGACCACCUUAGCACAGCUCGUUUACAAUGACACUGAAAUUAAGAAGCAUUUCGAGUUGCGGCUCUGGGUGUGUGUCUCUGAUGAUUUUGAUGUGGAUUCCCUGGCUAACAAAAUAGUGAAAGAGAAUGGUUGUGAAGCAAGUGGAAGUUCAUCAGCACUGGACAAUCUUCAAAAGGCAGUGAGUGGGAAGAGGUACCUCCUCGUAUUGGAUGAUGUGUGGAACCGUGAUGAGCCCAGCAAGUGGGAAAGGUUGAAGUCCUACCUUCAGCAUGGUGGCAGCGGUAGCUCAGUGCUGACAACAACUCGCGAUGAAGCUGUUGCUAAACUAAUGAUGGGUACAACUGAAGGAGCCUAUAAACUUGGAAGCUUGGAUGAAGAGUCCUUAGGGAAAAUUAUCAAGGCAAGAGCAUUCGGUUCAAAACAGCCUGGUGAACUAGUUAACAUGGUUGGUAAAGUUGCCAAGAGAUGUGCUGGUUCUCCUUUAGUUGCUACAGCAUUGGGCUCUUUACUGGGUACCAAGACCAGCAAGCAAGAAUGGGAGGAUGUACUAAAUGGAAGCACGAUUUGUGAUGAGGAAAAUGGGAUUUUACCAGUACUUAAACUAAGUUACAAUUGCUUGCCAUCAUACAUGCGGCAAUGCUUUGCUUUCUGUGCUAUGUUUCCCAAGGAUUAUGAGAUUGACGUGCAAAUGCUAAUCCACUUGUGGAUGGCCAAUGGUUUUAUCCCAGAGCAAUCAAAAGUGUGUCCUGAAACUUUUGGAGAAAGAAUUUUCAUUGAGCUCAAGUCAAGGUCAUUUUUUCAGGAUUUGAAGAAUGUCCCAUUUGAUGACAAAUAUUCUAUUUAUAAAAAUGGCAAUAAGCACAGGUAUUGUUCUAGAAUUACUUGUAAGAUCCAUGACCUUAUGCAUGAUGUUGCACAGUCUGCUAUGGGAGAAGAAUGUGCUGCAAUAGCUACACACCCAAGUGAAAAAGAGGAUGUUCUUCGUUCAGCUCGUCACUUGUAUUUGUCAAUCCGUCAACCACAAACUCUUCUGAAUGCUUCCCAAGAGAAAGGAUCUCCAGCUUUCCAAACACUGAUUUGUGACGGAUAUGUAGGAGAUUUGAAGAUUUUAUCAAAAUACAACUCUAUAAGAGCUUUAAAGAUCGUGUGUGGUUCAAUCUUAAGGCCGAAAUAUCUUCAUCACCUGAGGUAUCUUGAUCUCUCAGAAAGUUUCUUUGAAGCACUUCCUGAAGACAUUAGCAUCCUAUAUCAUCUGCAAACACUGAACCUUUCUUACUGUGACCGGCUUAAACGGCUUCCAAAGCAACUGAAGUAUCUGACUGGCCUCCGUCACCUCUACACUCACGGAUGUGGAAAGUUGAAAAGCAUGCCCCCAGAGCUCGGACGCCUAACUUCCCUACAGACGCUUACAUACUUUGUAGCAGGUGCCGAUGGCUCUGGUUGCAGUAAUUUGGGAGAGCUGCAGAAUUCGGACCUUGGUGGUACACUGAAGCUAAGCAAGCUAGAAAAUGUGACAGGAGCAGAUGCACAAGCAGAUGCAGAAGCAGCAGGUCUUGGAAAAAAGAAAAAACUGACCGAACUGGAGUUAUGUUGGACCGAUAGUGACCAGGAAGCACAGAAUAAUAAUCAUAAAGAGGUGGUGGAAGGUCUCAAACCUCAUGAUGAGUUGAAGGCUCUGAGGAUAAAUCACUGUGGGAGCAGAACUUUUCCAACGUGGAUGAAUACUUUGAAAGGCAUGGUGAACCUGAAAUUAUUCCAUUGCAAAAAGCUCGAAGAGCUUCCUGCACUCUGGGAGCUACCAGCUCUGCAAAUUCUUGGCCUGGAGGGUUUGGAGAGUUUACAUUGUUUGUGCAGCGGUGGUACUACACUCUGGGAGUUCACAUUUCCAAAACUGAAGGUGCUUACCUUGUUAGAAAUGGCAAAAUUUGAGGCAUGGUGGGAGACACAUGAGGUACAAGGAGAAGAGCCGAUAUUUCCCAAGGUUGAGGAGCUGGAGAUUAAGGAGUGUAAAAGUUUGACUGCAUUACCAAAAGCAGCGUCGGUGAUUACAGAAUU